rnacentral:lncRNA from 1 species
UGUAACAGUCAACAUCCAUGUCUGGCUAUGGUCUGUCCCCAUUUAAUCAAGAAUCAGCCACCUCAAACUCCACAGCAGAGUUUUCUUCUUAGUCAUUGGAGUAUCAAAGGCUGUGAACAUUGCCUUUUCUCUUGAAUUAACUUCAAACUCCAUAUCUUUUUUUUUUUGAAAGAAUUUUAAAUUUAUUCACUUCAAAAAACCUCUGUGCAACCUAAUGCUUUUUUGUACAGAAAAAAAAAACUAUUCUAAAAUUUUUGAUGAAUAAAUCAUCUACUUCCAAACCAUAUCUCCAUAUUUAUUUUCAGAUAUCUUUCUCAAAGAUGAGACCCUAUUUCGAAUAAGCUUAUCCAAAAAGAUGAUGAGCCGGGCUGAGGAUUGAGGAGCUUCUUCAACACAGCCAGAUAGCAAAGGCUGUAGCUUGGAAGCUAUAACGAAAGAGAAAGGUGGAGGUUCUGUCCUGUAGACCCACCACCAGUCUUUGCAUCAACUGAUUCUAAUGAUUUGAAAUUCCUAUGCCUGCCAGAUCCCUUAUCGUUCCUCGCCACACAAAAAGUUGUUUGAAACCUUACGUUGGAAUAUAAUUUAUGCUUACCAUGAAAGUUCCUAGUGUUUAAUCCUGGUCAGAUCAUAUCUGGUCACGAUAUCCUGCUUUCUAUCUCCCUGCGUAUAAAAGCUGCUGAAAUCUAUUUUCCAAAGUUGAUAAUGAAACAUGCAUGAAGCUGUAGGCUGUAACUGUUCACUAUUGCAGAUUGAACAAUAAUUGUAGCUUGCUCAAUAAAUGCAGUUCUCUACUAGCAGACUAGGGGACGACCAAGACCCUAUACGUAAAUAAUACGAAAUAUUUCUCUUUUAAAAACAAUUAAAAAAAGACUUCCAUUUCACAAUUAUUUUAUCUCUUCUUCUUGUUGGUAAAGAUUGUGACUAACCAACCAAGUCUACAUAAUCUAUAUCGAUGAUGUGGAUCGUCUUCUUCUUCAUCAUCAUUACAAGCUUCUUUGCGACUCUAACAACACCCACUUCACCAGCUCUCCAUCCAGAUGAAUGUAUUAAAUCUUGAUUCUUGUAAAUAUAAAAAUUCAAGAUCAAUAUUUUUUUGCUUAUAUGAACUUGAUAACUUGUGCAGUGCAUGCGCUUGAGGAGAUAGCUACUACACUUGGUAUAAAGAGAGUGAACCUAAGUUACAAAGACCCAUGCGAUUCACAAAGUCUAAUGAUCAUAAAACAAGCUGAUAGGAAUCUGGAGGUGAACAACACCAUUGCUUGUGACUGUAGCUUCAACAACAACAUGACAUGUCAUAUUACAGAAUUGUGAGUGUUAAUAUCUUUCUUUUUUUUACUCUCUUAUUUACUUCUUUAGUUUGCUUUAAUUUCGACAAAUGCAGAAGUCUCGUGAAUUUAACUCUUGUGGGGAAAGUUCCACCUGAGUUAGCCAAGCUUCGACAUCUCCGGUCAACGUAAGUCCAAAGAUUUGAUAAAUUUAACAAACCUUUUUACGUUACAAGUAGAAGUAGAGGGUGAAAAAGAUCAUCUUAUGUGCGAUAGGUUAAAGAGAAAGCAUGUUCAUGUGUCAGACUCAGGGGUUUAGUGGGAAUUAGAUUUUUGUUGAUUGUUAGAAUUCUUAAAUUCUGAUUAUAAAACUUGUUAUGACACAAAUUUUAAUGCAUCUUCUAAAAAUAUACAACACUUGCUACAAAUUUAACAAAAUUAUAUAAAAAAAAAACAUAUCUAUGCAAAUUUAACAUAAUCUCUCAAAAAUCAACCUAACUCUAUCAAAAUCUAAGUUCCACUAGUUUCUAUGGAUUUGCUAGACAUUUUUCUAUUUUUACUACAAGAACUCACUACUUAAAACCAAGACAAUAAAGAAAUGAAAAAAAAAGGAUUUGCAGGAUAUUCUUAAAGUAAAGUUUAAAACUUGAUUGAUCAACAAAACCUGUAGCCACUAGCCAGAGUAUCUCUACAAAGAGAAACAUAACAAAAGUUUCUUACGAGUUUUUUUUUCUCUUACUUGUAGCGACUUAUCCGCCAACUACCUUACUGGCACGAUUCCACUCCAGUGGGUUUCAAUGCCAUAUCUCACUUUCAUGUUAGCUCCCUCUCUCUGUCUCACUCUGAUACUUCAUCUUCAUGAUUUACGAAUAACUUUGAAUAUUCUCGCAGCUGGCUCUGCGGGAAUCGUUUGUCUGGGAAUUUACCAACUUGGUGGCAAAACUUCAAGAAUCUGAAAUUCUUGUACGUCUCUGAAUGUUUCCCACUUCUGUGGCUUUUGAUUAUUAAUUUCAAGGUUAAAAUUUCCAAAUUCAAGUGGAUUGGCUAUAACCCUUUAUAUAUAGUUAAUUAUUUCUCCAAUUACCAAUUUAGGACUUCAUUCAUUCAUACAUUAACACUCUCCUCACGCUCAAGUGGAGACAACUAUGUGAAAACAUCCACGGAAUGCCCCAACAUCGGGUGGCUAUGAUACCAUGUUAAACUCGGACCAACCUGACUUUAACAUGGUAUCUGAGCCACUAGUACAUGGAAAACAACUCACUUGCUCUUGUUUUAUCCGGUAAAUAAAUUAAUAGAAAUUUUCUAGCAUAGACCUAAAUUUUUUUUUGUCACAAAUAUAGAUCUCAAAAAUAAAAAAGACCAAAAUAGAAUGUUUUAUAAAAAAAAGUAAAUAUACACUUAUACUCCUAGGGUUAAUUAAUCUAGGCAUUAGGGUUUAGAGUUAAGGGGUGGAAUUUAGGGUUUAGGGUUUAGGGUUUAGGGUUUAGGGUUUAGUGUUUAGGAUUUAGGGUUUAAAGUUUAGGGUUUAUGAUUUAGAGUUGAAGAGUGGAGUUUUGGGGAUAGGAUUUCAAAUUUUAAAAAAUAAAUAAAAUUUAAAAUUUCCAAAAUAAAAAAUGUUAUUUUGGUCAUUUUAGUUUUUGAGGUCUAUUUUAUGACAAAAACUUAAAAAUGUAUAUUCGAGAGAAUUACCCAUAAAUUAAUUUUUUUUUAUUUUUAUUAAUAAAUUAAAACUCAUUCAGCGUUCCUUUACGUCUUGAGCCUAAUUCAAGUUUGCAUAUCUCUUCCAUAUAUAGAAUGGGCAAUGAGACAAAAAAUCUGUGUAGGAAUCGCAAGAGGGCUUGCAUUCCUCCACGAAGGAUCUAUAGUCAGGAUGGUUCAUCGUGACAUUAAAACAACAAAUGUGCUUCUAGAUGCUGACCUAAACGCAAAGAUAUCUGACUUUGGUUUGGCCAGGCUCCACGAAGAAGAACACAGUCACAUUAGCACCAAGAUUGCAGGAACCAUGUAAGUUAGUAUAUUAUAGCACAAACUUCAGAGUGUACAUGGCUCCAGAGUAUGCAUUAUGGGGUCAACUAACAGAGAAAGCAGACGUGUAUAGCUUCGGAGCAGUCCCGGCUCUUACCCAUGGCAACAUGGGCAUUUGUCAUGGGUCCAUGGGUCCAAAAAUUUUUUGUGUUGUUUUAAAGGUCCAUUUCAAUCUGUUAAAUUAUCAAAAAGAUUCAUAAUUAAGUAAAUCUAAUUUAUUUAUUACAAGACAAAACAAUAAAAAAUCUGUACAUUCACCAUUAAUUUUGAGAUAUAUUUUUUAUUUGUUUCAGGUAGUGUUUUGAAAACCGGACCAGACAUUGAUUCGGCAUUGUAACUAGAUCAAUGGUCGGACCGGUCCAAUUGGUUCAACUGGGUUUUAAAUUUUAAUUAAAUUUUUUAUUAAGUAACUAUUAUAUGUAUAACAAAAUUAUUUUUAUAAAAUUUUAUAUAAUUAUUAGAAUCUAAAAAUGAUAUGAAAACAAAAUUAUUUUUUUUAAAAAUAAUAUAAUAUAAUGAAAAUAAUUUAUUUAGGUAGAUACUUAGAAAACAAUAUGAAAUUUUUAUGAAAUAUUUUUCAAAUUUGCAGUUUAAAAAAAAUUCUUGAAUUUGAAAAAAUAGGAUUUUAAUAUCGAUCUUGAUCACUGGUUUUAGCGAGUUUUGCCGGUUUUUGACCGGGUUUGCCAAUUUAACUCAAAUCCGGUUUUUAGUAUAACCCGGAACCGAAUAGAUGGCCGAGUCACGGUCUGACCGGCCGGUCUGGUCCAGCCGGCCGGUCCGGUCCAGUUUUCAAAACACUGGUUUCAGGUUUUAGAGUUCAAAUUAAAAAAAAUGCAGUGAAGAAAAAUAUAGAAAAUAUUUAUAAAAGGGUCCAUAUUUUGGGUUUCGCCCCGGGCUAUUAUAUUGGUUAAGACGGCACUGCUUCGGAGUUGUGGCCAUGGAGAUUGUUAGUGGCAAGAGUAAUACUAAACACAAGGGAAGUGCUGAUCACGUCUCCCUUAUCAAUUGGGUAACUAUGGAGAUUGUUUUUUCAUUUGAUGUGUGUGUGAAUGUGCUAUACGUCUGCUUAGGCCACUUAUCUGAAUCUCAGGCAUUGACGCUGCAACAGACAGGGGACAUAAUGGAUAUUGUAGAUCCAGUGCUUGAUGGUGACUUCAACAGCAAAGAAGCAGUAAGGAUGAUCAAAGUUGCUCUAGUUUGCACACAUUCAUCUCCUUCUUUAAGACCUACAAUGUCUGAGGCUGUACAAAUGCUCGAAGGAGAGAUUGAAGUAACGCAAGUUAUGUCAGAUCAUGGUUUAUAUGGGCAUAACUGGAGCAUCUCAAAGCUGAGGGACGCUGAUACACAUGCUAGCCUGAACAUAUAUGGUGUGACCGAUCAAACAGCAUCGACAAUGAAGUCCUCUGUUUCUGCUAGUGAUCUCUACCCGUUGUAUCCCGAAUCUCUGAUCCUAAACUCCACAUAAACAAGAAAGAAGCAGAGACGUUGAUAAAAGUGGCUCUCGUGUGCACGAGCAAUUCUGCGUCAGAUCGUCCAAUUAUGUCAGAGGUGGUUGGUAUGCUGGAAGGUCACUAUCCAGUACCGGAACCAACCCCGGGAACAAGCAGGAAAUCAGGGGAUAUAAGGUUUAGGGCGUUUAAAGAUGUAAGGAAAGGCAUGGAAGAGAACAACAGUAAGACUCAGUUUUCUCUUAAUAGUUAUCCUUCUUCUUCUUCCGAUACUCAUGUGGCUGGACAAGAAAGAAAGCAAGAUGAGUCAGGGCCUUGAAGAGGUUUCCAAUUUGCUGUCCUCUCUCUAUAUUUUGUAAAUGAUAUGAGUUUUAAUUAUGUAAAACCGUUUGGAAGUUUAUUACACGAUUAGUCCAUUUACUGUGCUUUUUUUUUGUAUCUAUAUUAAAGCUUGAUUAGUUAGGGACUCAGUGUUGUGGAAAACCAAAACUCAAAAGAUGAUAAAGUCAGUGAUCUUUCCUAGUCAUACUUUUAAAGCCUUUAAAUUCUACAUCAAGAACUAAAGUUUGAUUAGUUAUCUUUGUGGAAAAUCAUACUUCUGAAGCCUCUGAAUUCUACGUUAAGAAAAUUAUUCUCUUUUUUUUUUUGUUCAACUUAAAUGAAAAGAUAGACACUGAUACUGAUUGAUGCAGAUUGACUAGCCUGCUUGGUGCAGGCUUAGUUUGAUCCAGGAGUACUUUUAAAAAGGUUUAGUAGACGAUUAGUAUAUUGGCAUCUGGUCUUGAUUCAGUGCGGAAAACCAAAACUCGAAAGAAAAUAAAGUUGGUGAUCUUUCCUACUCAUACUUUAAAGCUUUUAAAUCCUACAUCAAUAAUUAAAGCUUGAUUAGUUAUCUUGCGGAAAAAUUCUGUCACAGACAGAGUCUGCCACAUCGUAUUAAUUAAUAUAUGAUAUAAAUGUGUAUCCGAAUCUGAACAUAUUCUGUCCAUCUGAACCAAAAUUGAUCCGGCUUAUCAAAAGAAACUUGAUCGAUCCGGCCUAUCAAAAGAGACUCGACCGAUCCUGCUUUUCUUCAAUAGUAUGUAUGCUUGUAUAUAUAGAUAAUUGUGGAAAAUGUGAAGUGUCUUAUGAAAUGCAGUUUGACUAAGCUGAGAUUUAAGAGAAAACUAAAACUUUACAUCAUCUUAAUUUAUUUAAAUUCAAAACACACACUUAUCUUUAUGAAAUGUUUGUUAAAACUGAAUUAUAUGUUAGGAAAAGUCUCUAUUGCUUACUGGAUCUUACUAACUUGCUUACCACAUUGGUUGAACAUUUGUCUGAAAUGACAUCAGUUUGUCUCCAUGGAAUUGACUCGGAUAGCAUGCAACGAAUGAAAAGAUAACUAAAAUCUUGGAUCAUUUAACCAAGUUGGGCCGGUUCAAAAUAUAACACAAAUAUUUAAGAUAAUGAAAUAAUAAGUUUUAGAAAAAACUAUGUAAAUAUAUGGUCCUAUUAAAAUCAGAAAUUAAUAAUUUAUAUAUAUAGUUUAUAUAAGUACAAACAAAAUAUUGUAUUGUUUAUUUUAUAUUCACAAUGAAGUUCAUCUUUAUUUUCUUAUUAACACUUCAAUAAAUUUUCUAUAAUAUUUAGAAACAUUAUAUCUAAAAAAAUAUCUGAAUUUUAUGAGGUAUAUUUCAUAUACACUAAAUAAUUUAGUAAAGCAAUAUGUAAGUCGAUUUUCUAAAAUUUAGUUAAUAUAUAUGUAAAAUCUAAAAAAGAAAGUUUACUGUAUAGCACACCUAAUGUAACUAUUGAAAACUCUAGUGGAAACUUUUUGUGUCAAGGUGAUAAGUGACACAGGUUAUACUGAAUUACUGAUAUGUUUUCCAAAAAAAAUGAAAUGAAGAAUUACCAAUCUUAUUUUUGUUACAGAGGAUAUAUGGCUCAUGAAUAUUAAAUGAGGGGAUCGAAGGGUCGCCUAAGAGAAAGACAUAUGUUUACAGCUUCGAUGUGGUGGCAUUGGAGAUCGUUUGUGUUGCAGAAGGGGAUUUUGGUGCGAGCUGGAAGGAAUGUUCGAUGUGAUAGCGGCAGAGCCAAUGAUCAAGGUAUGUCUCCUAUGCUCUGACAAGUCUCCCACAUUCUCCCCAAACAUGUAGGAGUUGUGAAGAUGCUUGGUGAAGAAAAUGAAAUAGAACAGAUGAUCAUAUCAGAUCUUGGAGUGUACUGUGAAAACUUGCCCUUCAAACCAUCGUAUUUGUCUUCUGAUUAUGUCAUGUCGAAUAGUCGAUUACAUCAUCAUCUGUUUGUGCUUAUUAUGAUCUGUACCAAUUCAGGGACUCCAUUCUCCAUAGUUUACAUUAGACAGUAGCUUAAACCAUUUGAUGAUCUCCACACUAGGGUUAUCGUUGUGGGCUAGGUUGAGCUCAAGAGAGGAAGUGUGAGUUAAACCAUUUCUAAUGUAUUAUGCUAUUUUCUCUUCUAAAACAGAGGUGAAAUAUGUUUCAAGGUAUUUUCUUAAAAAUAUCAAUAUCAAAUAUAUAGUAAAAAUAGAGGAAUGCUAUUGUUUUUUCAUAAAUAAAAGAAAAAAAAUCAUCUCUAUUAUAGAAAAAUAAAUAAAGGUGGGCUGAAACAAUUUUAUCUUUAAAUUCUAUUAUAGAGAUAGAAAUAACAAUUUAUUGGAGUUGUUCUUAGAGCUCAUAUAGUUAGUGUGUUAUUUGGAAAGGUUUUAAUUAGAAUAAAAUAAAAUACAUAGUUAACUAGUUAUAUAACUAAUUCAAAAAGGUUGUUCUAUCAAGUCUACUUCUUGACUAUUCCAUUGCGUUGCUUUAAGUCUACCUCCAAGGAACAUAGCUUUAAAAGCUUUCUUAUAGUAGGGGCAUGGCUCUGUUCUUGAUAGGUAAAUGAACGAGUGGUGUGUAUAUCUGUAAUACGUGCUGAUGUAAUUUUGUGUUUAUUAUUUGCUUUGACUCUUUCUACAUAGCCAUCAAUUUAUUCAUUUAAUUUGCAAAAGUAAUGCAUCAAUUAUUUUGGUUCUGAUUGUUUGGUUGGAUAUGUACUUCGAUUCCACCAAUAUAUGGGGUAGGCACAUAUCGAAUACUACCAUAAUUUUCUGUAUUUCUUUUAACACUGAUUUAUUAGGAUAUAACAAUUUUGAGAAAUACUGCACAGACGAUUCGACAACCGACAAUAUUAACAGCAUUAUGAGGAUCAACGUCUAACUGCAUCAUCCGAGCCGCUCCAUGAAGAUCUACACCUAACGGGAUUUACUUGCACUAUAUUGAAGAUCACUUGUAAGUCUUUUUUCCGUAACCUACAUAAUUGUCUAAUAAAUUGUUUUCUCCAGAAAAUGAAACGUGGACCUCCUCGAGUAGAAUCAUCAAUGAACCCUUAAUCAAACCACUUGACUAAUGGGCUUCCAUGAUUUGUGAUUUGUUAAUUAACAGAGAUCUAAUUUUUCUAUUUGUUUUACUUCGGAAAAAUACAGAUAUCCAGUUUUCUGGAAAUCCAGAAAAUUUACAAAAGUUUGCGAUAUUUAUGGAUAUCUCAUCCAUUUUGUUCAAUAAAAGAAAAAUCUAGAAAAAUAUACGAGAUUGUUUUUAAAAAAAUAUAUCAUUUACAUAACAUAAAAUAAAAAAAUAUAGAUUAGUGAAACUAUAUGUUCCAUAUAUUUUUAAAAUUAUUUAUAUUUUUUUUAUAAAACAUUAAAUUAUAGGAAAAUUAUAAUUUUAUAAAUAUUUUAUAUUCCUUUCUUAAUUGAAUACUCUUAUAAGUAAAACAUUUAUCAAUCAACUACUUGAUGUCCCGCACCUUGUGUAGACUAAUAUAUAAAUAUAUAUAUAACAAUUUUUAAUUCUAAUGUUUAUUUUAUUUUAAAAAUUAUUUAAUUAGAUACAAAUUUAAAUUAAUAUUAUGUUAUAAUAGUUCGAUAUUCAUAUUGGUAAUCAAUAUACUAAAUUAUGUUAUACUGUUUCCUAGUUUUAUUUAUGCAUGUAGAUUUUGGAUCAAAAUAUUUUCUAUAGUAAUAAUCAAAUUAAAAAUUGGAUUUAUUGUAGUUGGACUAAAAUGAAAGGAUUAUAAGCAAUCACAACCCAUAAAAAAAUUAACAAAAUAAUAAUAGCCUAGGGGUGUUCAAUCCGGUAAAACUGAACCGAACCAAAAUUGAGAAAAUAGUUUAGAUUUUGUAGUACCGAAUAAACCGAAUGGAUGUUAUUUUUAAAAACCGCAGUAUAUGGAUAUGGUUUAGUAUAUAUUAACCAAUCAACCGAAUAAACCAAAUAAAUCGAUUAAUUAAAAAAUAUUGUAUACUUAUAUAAAAAAAUUAUAAUAAUUUAUAUUUGGAUCAGUAUUUCUAAUAAGAAUCAGAGAAACCAGAUAUAAUAUUAGUCAUUCAAAUCAUAAAAUAAAUAUAAGAAAAACCUGUUCCAAAACAAUAAAUAAGAUUAAUGUAAUUAUGAUAUAUCGGUAGAUAUUGUUAAUAUCUAUUGAUUAAUUAAAUGUCUUAAAUAUCAUGAUAAUUGUAUAUUAAAAUAUAUUUUUUAAAAAAUAGUUAUAUAUCAGUAGAAUAAUUUAAUGUUUAUUAUUUAUCUUAAAUAUCAUGAUAUAUAUAUAUAAUAAAAUAAAGUUUUAAAUAAUAAUGUUAAUUAAACUAAUUAUUUAUUCUAAAAUAAUGGAAAAGAUGACACAUAAGAAAAUUCACUAAAAUCAUGGAAAAAAUGACAAGUAAGCAAAUUCACUUUUCAAAAAUUAGUAUAGAUAGAAACUUUCAGUUAAUUUAAUAUCUUAAUAAAUCUUAAAACAAGUCAUUCUAUUUUGUUUAUUAAAUCUUGAAUUAAUCAAUAGUUUCGAACUUUUCAAUUAGUUCAAGAUAUUGAUAAACCAGAAAUAAGUGGUACAGUUAUCGCCAAAUUAUGUUAAUUCAGUGAUCGAAGCUCUAUUUUGGAAUUGGGACCAAAGUUCCUUUUUUAUACUCCAUUUUUAUCAUUCUUCUUUUGUUAAAUAUCCAAGGACCGAGGUGAUCGUCUUAGGGUUCGGGCUCGUGGACAUUUAGAAUCCAAACUGGUUAUUUUAAAGACCAACUUCGCAUGUUGGUAAAAUACGGAGCAUUUGACAUUAAAUAAUUGAACUUCUUUUUUUUCUUUCUGAAAUUUAAUUAUUGAACUUCUUUUAGUGAGAACAAAAUGCUUCUAAAAUUUAAACUUCUUUUUUUUUUCUGAAAUUUAAUUAUUGAAAUUUAAAAGAACUGGUAUUUUAUUGUAUCGCAGGAAUUUAAAUAAGGACGAAAUUUUAUACCCGUAGAAUUUUUAACACUGAUAUAAAAAGAGAGAAUUUGUUAUUAUAGAGAGAGAAGAGAUUGAGGUGUGUUAUAAACGAUCGAUGAAAUUAAAAAGUGAAAGUUACUGUGUAAAUAGUGACAGUUGGCCCCAUAUUUGUUCACAAACUCAACAAUUGAGGCGCUGCCAUAUUUGACGUUUGUAACACUCCCCAUUGGGGACCGGUGUCACUAUCGUCUUUUGCUUAACGUCUAUGUUGCCUCGUUAAAAAGAGUACAACUACGUAAGCUCCCCCUCGAAUGAGCAGUCAUAGAUCCUUCUGAUGGCGCAUUCCAAUGUUAUGGACAUGUUUUCUGAAUACUGAAGUCAGAAGUGAUUUUGUGAAGAGGUCAGCUGCAUUGUCGCAUGAUUGGACAUAUUUUACUUCAAUUUCUUUCUUCUUCACGAGUUCUUGAGUAUAUGAUAAGAACUUCAGAUGAAUAUGUUUCGUUCUAUCGCUUUUGAUAUAUCCGUUAUAUAUAUAUAACAAUUUUUAAUUCUAAUGUUUAUUUUAUUUUAAAAAUUAUUUAAUUAGAUACAAAUUUAAAUUAAUAUUAUGUUAUAAUAGUUCGAUAUUCAUAUUGCUAAUCAAUAUACUAAAUUAUGUUAUACUGUUUCCUAGUUUUAUUUAUGCAUGUAGAUUUUGGAUCAAAAUAUUUUCUAUAGUAAUAAUCAAAUUAAAAAUUGGAUUUAUUGUAGUUGGACUAAAAUGAAAGGAUUAUAAGCAAUCACAACCCAUAAAAAAAUUAACAAAAUAAUAAUAGCCUAGGGGUGUUCAAUCCGGUAAAACUGAACCGAACCAAAAUUGAGAAAAUAGUUUAGAUUUUGUAGUACCGAAUAAACCGAAUGGAUGUUAUUUUUAAAAACCGCAGUAUAUGGAUAUGGUUUAGUAUAUAUUAACCAAUCAACCGAAUAAACCAAAUAAAUCGAUUAAUUAAAAAAUAUUGUAUACUUAUAUAAAAAAAUUAUAAUAAUUUAUAUUUGGAUCAGUAUUUCUAAUAAGAAUCAGAGAAACCAGAUAUAAUAUUAGUCAUUCAAAUCAUAAAAUAAAUAUAAGAAAAACCUGUUCCAAAACAAUAAAUAAGAUUAAUGUAAUUAUGAUAUAUCGGUAGAUAUUGUUAAUAUCUAUUGAUUAAUUAAAUGUCUUAAAUAUCAUGAUAAUUGUAUAUUAAAAUAUAUUUUUUAAAAAAUAGUUAUAUAUCAGUAGAAUAAUUUAAUGUUUAUUAUUUAUCUUAAAUAUCAUGAUAUAUAUAUAUAAUAAAAUAAAGUUUUAAAUAAUAAUGUUAAUUAAACUAAUUAUUUAUUCUAAAAUAAUGGAAAAGAUGACACAUAAGAAAAUUCACUAAAAUCAUGGAAAAAAUGACAAGUAAGCAAAUUCACUUUUCAAAAAUUAGUAUAGAUAGAAACUUUCAGUUAAUUUAAUAUCUUAAUAAAUCUUAAAACAAGUCAUUCUAUUUUGUUUAUUAAAUCUUGAAUUAAUCAAUAGUUUCGAACUUUUCAAUUAGUUCAAGAUAUUGAUAAACCAGAAAUAAGUGGUACAGUUAUCGCCAAAUUAUGUUAAUUCAGUGAUCGAAGCUCUAUUUUGGAAUUGGGACCAAAGUUCCUUUUUUAUACUCCAUUUUUAUCAUUCUUCUUUUGUUAAAUAUCCAAGGACCGAGGUGAUCGUCUUAGGGUUCGGGCUCGUGGACAUUUAGAAUCCAAACUGGUUAUUUUAAAGACCAACUUCGCAUGUUGGUAAAAUACGGAGCAUUUGACAUUAAAUAAUUGAACUUCUUUUUUUUCUUUCUGAAAUUUAAUUAUUGAACUUCUUUUAGUGAGAACAAAAUGCUUCUAAAAUUUAAACUUCUUUUUUUUUUCUGAAAUUUAAUUAUUGAAAUUUAAAAGAACUGGUAUUUUAUUGUAUCGCAGGAAUUUAAAUAAGGACGAAAUUUUAUACCCGUAGAAUUUUUAACACUGAUAUAAAAAGAGAGAAUUUGUUAUUAUAGAGAGAGAAGAGAUUGAGGUGUGUUAUAAACGAUCGAUGAAAUUAAAAAGUGAAAGUUACUGUGUAAAUAGUGACAGUUGGCCCCAUAUUUGUUCACAAACUCAACAAUUGAGGCGCUGCCAUAUUUGACGUUUGUAACACUCCCCAUUGGGGACCGGUGUCACUAUCGUCUUUUGCUUAACGUCUAUGUUGCCUCGUUAAAAAGAGUACAACUACGUAAGCUCCCCCUCGAAUGAGCAGUCAUAGAUCCUUCUGAUGGCGCAUUCCAAUGUUAUGGACAUGUUUUCUGAAUACUGAAGUCAGAAGUGAUUUUGUGAAGAGGUCAGCUGCAUUGUCGCAUGAUUGGACAUAUUUUACUUCAAUUUCUUUCUUCUUCACGAGUUCUUGAGUAUAUGAUAAGAACUUCAGAUGAAUAUGUUUCGUUCUAUCGCUUUUGAUAUAUCCGUCUUUUGUUUGAGCAACACAUGCUGCAUUAUCUUCAUAUAUAAUAGUUGGAUCCGUAUUUUCGUCAAUCCCACUGCUUGAACAGAUGUGUCGGCUUAUUGAUCUUAGCCAUACACAUUUUCUACUUGCUUCAUGGAGUGCAAUGAUCUCAGCAUGAUUUGAAGAAGUAGCCACGAGCGUUUGUUUCUGAGAACGCCAAGAUAUAGCAGUGCCUCCUAUCGUGAAUACGUAUCCUGUUUGUGAUCGGGCUUUGUGUGGAUCUGAAAAAUAUCCAGCAUCUGCAAAACCAACCAUUUGACCUUUUGAACUUUUAGGAUAAAACAAGCCUAAAUUAAUGUUCCCUUGGAGGUAACGAAAAACAUGUUUAAUCCCAUUCUAAUGUCUUCGAGUUGGAGAUGAGCUGAAUCUUGCCAAAAGAUUCACAGCAAAUGAUAUAUCAGGCCGUGUACAAUUUGCAAGGUACAUCAGCGCUCCAAUUGCACUUAGAUAUGGUACUUCCGGACCAAGUAUCUCUUCUUUCUCCUCAGGUGGUCGAAAUGGAUCACUUUCAAUAUUAAGUGACCAUCGGGGUGCUAAGAGGAGUUGCUUUAUCCAUGUUAAAGCGUUUCAAUACUCGUUUGGUAUAUGUAGAUUGGUGUACAAAUAUACCUUUUUGAGAAUGCUCAAUUUGUAACCCUAGACAAUAUUUUGUCUUUCCGAGAUCUUUCAUCUCAAAUUCUCCUUUUAAAUAAUCUGACGCCUUUUGUAUUUCUUGUUGAGUUCCGAUAAUGUUAAGAUCAUCAACGUACACCGCGAUUAUCACAAAUCCGGAUGUUGUUUUCUUUAUGAAAACACAAGGGCAUAUAGGAUCAUUCGUGUAUCCUUCUUUUGUUAAGUGUUCACUGAGACGAUUAUACCACAUUCGUCCAGAUUGUUUUAACCCAUAUAAUGAUCUUUGCAAUUUUAUUGCACAUAACUCUUUAGGUUUGGAACUUAAUGUUUCUGGCAUUUUAAAUCCAUCUGGGAUUCUCAUAUAGAUAUCAGUAUCUAAUGAUCCAUAUAAAUAUGCCGUAACGACAUCCAUGAGACGCAUUUCUAAAUUUUCAUUGGCCGCUAGGCUCAUCAGGAAUCUAAAUGUGAUUGCGUCCAUGACAGAAGAAUAAGUUUCCUCAUAAUCAAUUUCUGGCCUUUGAGAAAAACCUUGGGCUACGAGACAAGCUUUGUAUCUUGUAAUCUCGUUUUUCUCAUUUCUUUUUCGGACAAACACCCAUUUGUACCCAACAGGUUUUACAUCUUUGGGUGUGAGCACAAUAGGUCCGAAUACAUUUCGUUUGUUAAGCGAAUCUAAUUCGACUUGAAUUGCAUCUUUCCAUUUUAUCCAGUCAUGUCUCUUUUGACAUUCAUAUACAGACUUUGGUUCUGGAUCUUCGUUUUCUUCAUUUAUUUCCUUUGCUAAAAGGUAUGAGAAAACGUCAUCAAUAUCAUCCAUCUCAUUUCGUUUCCAUAUCUUUCCAUUAUGGAUGUAAUUGAUAGAAAUCUCAUGAUUUCCUUCAGAUUCAAGAUGCUUUAUAUUGUCAUUAGAUUCACAAUUUUCUUCGUCCAAAAUAUUUUCUGUUAUUUUGGGAGUAUCAUGCUUUUCACAUUCCUUACGUUUUCUAGGAAGUUUAUCCUUUGAACCAAUAGGUCUACCGCGCUUUAAACGUGUUCCUGAUUCACGUGUAUCAACUGCCGUUCCACCAUUUUGUGGUAUUUCAAUACGAGCAGGAGUAUUUGCAGCGGGUAUAUGUGAUUUAGUUACCAUUUUGGUAUCAACAAAUGCAUCAGGUAGCUGAUUUGCUAUAUUUUGUAAAUGCAUGAUACGUCGAACUUUUAGUUCUGACUGUUUCGUAGGAGGAUCAAGGUGUAAUAACGAUGGUACACUCCAUUUGAUCUCUUUUCCUACUUGUUUAUUGUCUCCCCCUAGAGUUGGGAAUUCUUUCUCAUUGAAAUGACAAUCGGCAAAUCGUGCCGUUAACACAUCACCAGUUUGUGGUUCUAGGUAUCUUAUUAUUGAUGGAGAAUCAUAGCCAAUAUAUAUUCUCAACCGUCUUUGCGUUCCCAUAUUUGUACGUUGUGGUGGUGCUAUUGGAAUAUAAACCGCACAACCAAAGAUUUUUAGAUGAGAGAUAUUUGGUUCUUUUCCAAAUGCUAACUGUAAUGGGGAAUAUCUAUGGUAUGCACUUGGUCUUAUCCGAAUUAGUGCUUCUGCAUGCAAAAUAGCAUGUCCCCAUACAGAGGUUGGGAGUUUUGAUCUCAUGAUCAAUGGCCUUGCAAUUAGUUGCAGCCGUUUAAUUAAUGAUUCUGCCAAACCAUUUUGUGUAUGAACAUGAGCAACAGAAUGCUCUACUUCAAUCCCUGAUACCAUACAAUAAUCAUUAAAAGCUUGGGAUGUGAAUUCACCAGCGUUAUCUAAUCUAACUCUUUUAAUUGGAUAAUCUGAGAACUGUGCUCUUAAUUUGAUUAUCUGAGUUAGAAAUCUCGCAAAUGCCAUAUUUCGAGAUGAUAACAAACAAACAUGUGACCAUCUACUCGAUGCAUCGAUUAAUACCAUAAAGUAGUAGAAUGGUCCACACGGUGGAUGUAUUGGUCCACAAAUAUCACCUUGGAUUCUUUCCAAAAACUUUGGUGAUUCUUUGUCAACUUUGGUUGGUGAUGGUCUUAUGAUUAAUUUCCCAAGAGCACACGCAUCACAUGUCAUUUUAUUACUUUGGUAUAUAUCUUGGGUUUUUAUUGAAUGACCAUGUGAGCUUUCAAUGAUUUUUCGCAUCAUUGUAGUGCCUGGAUGACCAAGGCGAUCAUGCCAUAAUGUAACAUCUUCUGGAUUUCUUUUUAUCACAAGAUGUGAUUCUAUAGCAUCAAUAUAAGUGUGAUGCAAUCCAGAAGGAAGUUCUGGAAAUUUUUCCAGUACAAGGCCUUUGCCUGAUUUUUCAGAAGUUAUAUACAAAUACUUCUUUCCAUUCUCAGUUGCAGACUGAGUGUUAUACCCUUGACGGUAUAUAUCUUUGAAACUCAACAAAUUUCUCUUAGAAUUUGGAGAAUAUAAGGCAUUAUCUAUGGAAAACUUUGUUCCAUUAGGCAACAUAAAGUUCGCCUUGCCAAUUCCUUCGAUCAGGUCUGUAGGACCUGAUAUUGUGUUUACAGUCAUUUUUACUGACUUUAAAGUAGAGAAAUAUCUCUUAUCCUUCAGUAUAGUGUGCGUUGUGCCACUAUCUGGUAUGCAAACUUCUCUACCCAUUUGUUUAGUUGUUGUUCCAUUUGCUUUCUUAUCCAUUUCUGUAACACACAGUUAAUAUCAAUAAAGAAAAUAAACUUUCAUAAGUAAACAUAUUAUGCAUCAAUAACAAGUACACAAUAAUUAUACAUUAGAUAUUUUGAAAUACAACAUUAUUUUGAAAGUGAAAUACAUAAUAUUUUAUGGCAUCACUAGGCAUUAUUAAGCUUGAUCAGUACAAGCACUUCAAUUAUUUUGAUGAGUGGCCUCGUCGAAAUCUCCCAUAAAGUCAGAGGAUUCGAGGUAUGUCGAUGUUGUACCCACAAGGUGUUCAUUGAGAUUUACUUCCUUUGCCUUGCCUUUAAUAGAUUCUUGGUACAAUUGGCAUAGAUGCCGAAGAGUUCGACAUACUUGAGACCAGUGUCCCUUCGAUCCACAUCUGUAACAGACGUUCUCAUUUUUAUGAGUAGGGUUUUCUUGGGUUUCUUUCCCUUUUACCCGAUCAGAUCGAUUCCAUGUGUUGGAUCCCCUUCCUCUUGGGUUGUUACUCCUUUCAUGGUUGCGGUUAAAUCGAUAACCACGACCACGACCAAAACCACGAUUGUGACCACGGCCACGACCACGCCCACGAUAGGAAUAAUUUCCUUUUUCCGGAUUUUUUAUAUCCGUUGCAUUUACCUCAGGAAAUGCUUUGGUUCCCGUGGGUCGGGCAUUGUGGUUUUUAAUGAGGAGUUCAUUAUUUCUCUCCGCUAUUAUAAGCGCCACAGCGAGUUCAGAGAACCUCGUAUACCCACAAUUUCUAUAUUGUUCUUGUAGAACAUAAUGAUUUUUGUGGAACGUUUGGUAAGUUUUCUCGAGCAUUUCUGCUUCCGAGACAGGCUUACCGCAAUAAUCUAAUUGCGCCGCUAUUCUCAAUAUAGCGGAAUUGUACGUUUCCACUUUUUCAAAAUCUUGAAAUCGUAGAUUUUUCCACUCAUCAAGUGCAUGGGGGAGAGUAAUUUUUCUUUGGUUAUCAAACCUCUCCUUCAGAGCUUUCCAAAGAUCUAAGGGAUCUUUGGUUCUCGCAUAAUCAUGCGUAAGGUUUUCAUCUAGAUGCCUUCUCAGAAAUAUCACGGCCUUAGCCUUUCCAUGAGAGGUUGAUAUAUUGCCAUCUUUUAUUUUUCCGAGUAUUUCCUCGGAAUCUAGAUGAAGCUCCAUGUUUGUAACCCAUGCCGUGUAGUUUGUCCCAGUUACUUCCAAUGCCGGAAACUGAAGUUUCUCGAUUUUUGCCAUUUGUAUUUCUAAAGCACAUAAAUAAAAAUUAUUAGAAUAUUAUUAAUAUUAAAAGGAACCGUUUACAUUAAUAAUGCAAGCAAUUACAAGGAGAAGCGAUGUAAAGAAAAUUAAACCGAUAUUCAUCUUAAAUUCACUCGGAGUAAAUUCUCCAACGAAUAAACCAUAAAUAGAAACACAAAUAAAAAUGGCACAUAAAAUAUAAGGCGGCUCGGCCGACUAAUAAAUAAAUUAAAUUACUAGUAAAUAAUAUAGGCGGUAUUCCGGCCAUUAUAACAUGAUAUAAAUAAUAGUAGAGGCGGUAUACCGACCAUUAUAACAGGGUAUAAAUGAUACAAAUAAAUUUUACCGAAUCGGAGAGUGAUCGUGCUGAUAACGUGUUAUAAAAAGAACUGGUAUUUUAUUGUAUCGUAGGAAUUUAAAUAAGAGCGAAAUUUUAUACCCGUAGAAUUUUUAACACUGAUAUAGAAAGAAAGAAUUUGUUAUUAUAGAGAGAGAAGAGACUGAGGUGUGUUAUAAACGAUCGAAACGAUCGUAUAUACAGAAAUUAAAAAGUAGGAUUUACUGUGUAAAUAGUGACAGUAGACUCCAUGUUUGUUUACAAACUCAACAAUUGAGGUGCUGCCAUGUUUGACGUUCUUAACAAACUUCUUUUUUUCUUUCUCAAAUUUAAUUAUUGAACUUCUUUUAGUGCUUGACCAAAAAAAAAAAAAAAAAAAAACUUCUUUUAGUGAGAACAAAAUGCUUCUAAAAUUAAUCAUUAAAAUACACAAGGAGACAUGAAACAUCAAAUCACGAACGUCUCUGUUCUCCACUAUACCUUCAGCAUCAACAUUUAUUAAGUAUGGUAGACUCAGUACAUAUAUCUUUAUUCUGUAGGCACCGAAGACCCAAGAAAAAACCCUACAAGAAAUGUUUAUUUUUGUUGUUAACAAACCUACAAGUAAUGUAGUAUUAUAUAACUACUGAAUCACUUGCUGAUGAUAACAUUGUGAUUCACCAAACAAAUACACAUACAGAGCAUCACUAUAUAUAAUUUAUAUCGAUAUGUCGAUACCUUUCUCGAGUUUUCUUAUAUUCUUUGCCAUCAUCACAAGCUUCCUCGCAACUCUAACGACAUCGGCCUCACGACCACUUCUUCAUCCAGAUGAGUGUAUGAGAAGAAAGAAUGGCCAUUUUCUAGACAAUUCUUAUAAAAUCACAGUUAAAAUCAGUAUAAAUUCAUAUGAUCAAUGUUUAAUUUUACUUUUGUUAUUAUAUUAAUGCAGUGAAGGCGCUUAAGGAGAUAGCCACUACACUUGGUAUCAAGGGAUUGGACCUCAAAUCAGAAGAUCCUUGCUCUAGGAGCAGUCUAAAGUUUGAUUUCGAUCAGACUGAUGGUGGGGACACCGCCAUUAAUUGUCAAUGUGACAACAUGAUAUGUCAUAUUACCGACUUGUUAGUGUUAUUCUUCUCUCUAAUCGUUUGAUCGGUUUUUUCACAUCUUUUCUUUUAUAUAUGUUUCUGUUGCAUUUGAGAAAAAAUACAGAUCUCUCAAGACCAUGGAUCUUCCUGGGAAACUUCCUCCUCAGUUAGUCAAGCUUCGAUAUCUCCGGUCAAUGUAAGUUAGAAAUUUUAGCAAACAUAGCACCAAAACAAGUUUUACUUCUAAAACGAGCCAUUUAUAGAAUAUUUUUGUAACAGCAUAAAUAUAAUAUCAAAAUGAUUGAUUUUUUUUUUUGUGAACAAAAUGUAAGAUCUAUGAAACUGUAACUGGAAGCUUAAACACUUUAUGGUUUCCAUUUUUAAUAAUCAAUAAAAAUCAAAACCGUAUAAUCAAAAUAAAUCGAAUGGUAAAGUUGAUUUCACUUACAAAUAAAAUAAUAUUAAAUUUUGAAAAUUAUUAUCUAUAGAUUAAGAACAACCUAAUAUAUAUACUACUCCAACUUUUUCAAAAUAAUACAUACUAUUUUAAGACUCACGUCUUGCGCACGAUAAUUAUUUUAAAUACACAUUAUUUUACGUAUUAUUAUCUGUUUAACAUUUAAAAAAAAAAAAAUAAAUCAAUAAAUAUAUAUUGAAUAAUUGAAAAACUAUUAACUGUUACAUGUAUAAUUAAAUUGACACAUAUAAAUUAAAGAAAUCACUUUUGUUUAUUUACAAUCAUUUUGUGGUAAAUACAUCUAAAUAAUUAUUUUCCCUAUUUUGUAUGUAAUUAAAUUUAAAUAAUAUUAACAUAUAUAUAGUAUAUUUAAUAUGACUUCUAUUAAAUGAAACUUCCUAAUCAUAUGAUUUUAUGCUCAUUUGUAUUUUUAACAAAUUUUUAAACCAUUAAUAACAAAACUUUUAGUGUGGGAUUUUUAAUAUUUUUAAUAAUUUAUAAUCUUUCUUGAAAAAUCAAUGCAAAUUUUAAAAUUAAAAUAUUAAAUUCUCAAUUUCAGAAAUUUAAAACCGUUGAUCACAAAAUUUUCAGUGUGAAAAUUUUAACAUUUUUUCGUAAUUUAUAGUCGUUUUCUAAAAAUUAAAAUAUAACAUAUACGAAAAUCUAAAUUUCAAUUAUAUGGCUAAUAUUUUUGUUUAAUUUAUUUUAAUAAUAUAACAUUUAAAAAAUCAUUGAUGAUAUGUAAAUUGUUUUUAAAUCUUUAUUAUUAAAAUCACUAAUUGACAAAUAUAUAUAAUCUAUUCACUUUUGGUAAUUCCAUAGCUUUUAUUUAAGAAAAGAAUGAAAAAAUUAAUUGUAGAUUGUUAACUAAUUUAUGAUUAGUUUAAUGAGAAGUAUAUAAUAUAUGUUUAGUGGACCAACAUAUUUUUCUAGAGACUUUAAGAAGCGUUCUAGUGAUGACACAUGUCAUAUAUAAAAUGUAUAAUGUUUCUCUUUUAAUAUAUAGGGGAUUUUAGGAAAACAUAUUUCAAAAAGAUAUAUUUUGUACAUUUUAAUUCAUUUUAUUAGGUAAUAGUGGUAAAUUUUAUGUUUUGAAGAAAUCUAUUGUGUCUAAUAAAUUUUGAUUGGCUAAAAUUUAAUAAAAAUAGUUAAUAACAAAAAUAAUAUAUUAAAAACAAAAAAACAAAAUUAAUAUAUUUAUAAUUAAAAUUUAAUAUGUUUCUUUAUAUGUUUGAAAAGUCAUACUUUCCUAAAUAUAUACUCAUUCUUUUUUAUAAAAAAUGUCAAUUUAAAAUUUUAACACAUAUUAAAAAUGAUUAAAAUGCAUUUAUGUUUCAUAAAUUACACCUAUUUGAUAAUAUUUGCGAUAAAUAAAUAUAUCAAUAAUAUUAGAGCAGUUUACAAUUAAUGUUAAAACUGAAAAUAAAUAUAAUUUACAUUGAAAUUUUAAAAUAACAACAAAAAAUGUUAAAAUCACAUUUCUAAGAAGCAGAGGAAAUAUUAUUUGGAAAUGGAGAAGAAAUAUUUAUAUAGUGGUUUUUGUUCUUGGUAGAAACUUGUGCCGUAAUUACCUUUCGGGUUCAAUCCCGAUGGAGUGGGCUUCAAUGCCAUACCUCACAAACAUGUCAGCUCUCUCUCUCUCUUUUUGUUCCUUUUCCAGCUUUGAAAACUUUCUCUUCAUGAUUCGCGAGUUAACUAUGACUUUUCACGCAGUUCCCUCUCCGCGAAUAAUUUGUCUGGGCCUUUACCUACUGGUUUACAAUACUUCAAGAGUCUGACAUUCCUGUACGUCUCAUACCUGUAGCCCUCUAGGGGUAUGGCUUCUGAUCAUUAGUCUAAUAUUACUUUAUUGUAAUGAAUUUUUCAGAGGGGUUGAAGCCAACCAGUUCUCUGGUCCUAUUCCUGAUGAGCUUGGUAACUUGACCAACCUAAUAGGAUUGUAAGACUCUCUUUGCAUCUUAACCAUCGUCCAAAACCAAAAGAAUCUAUUCUAGUAUUGUAUUGAAAUAUUUUAGUAUUUAGCUGUAAUCUAUUCUGAAAACUGGAUUUUGCAGGGAACUUGCGUCCAAUCAAUUUACAGGAAGACUUCCUAGCAGUCUAGCUAGACUGGUAAACCUUGAGAAAUUGUAAGUUGUCGCUACACUUAGAAGGUAAAUUGAAACUUUGGAAAUUAAUGUUCUUAUAUUUGGACCUAGAUUUCAUUGUAAGUUACAAUUUGUAACCUCUUGGUUAGAGCUUUUGCUUUGUGACUUUUCCGUGAUCUGCAAGAAAGUGAAUUAGCUGUUUGUUUACACUAUGCAGUAGGAUAAGUGACAAUAACUUCAGUGGAAUCAUCCCAGAAUAUAUUGGCAACUGGUCUCGGCUUCAAAGGCUGUAAGCUUUUUCCUCAUUACCAACUGUAGUUUCUUUUAAAGUUUGUGUUUCAAUAUAACUUGUGUCGAAUAUGUUCAACAGAGAUCUACAAGCAAGUGGACUGAAAGGACCUAUUCCUGACGCAGUGGCCCGCCUAGAAAAUCUUACUAACCUGUAAUUAACUAAAAAUUAAUUGAUCAUUUCAAGUACCAUUGAAAUACAUAUCCUGACCUCUAAUACUCAUUUUCAGGAUUAUUAGUGAUAUGACCGGGAUAAACUCCUUUCCUAAUAUAUCUAGCAAAGUCAUCAAAAACCUGUAUGUGUUUUCCAGUGAAGCUUGAUUUUAUUUGAGGAUAUGAAACUAAAGUCUCCGUCCCUGUUUCAGGAUAUUGAGGAAUGUGAGUAUGUCUGGUCCAAUUCCUUCUUACAUCUGGAGUAAGACGGACUUACGAACUCUGUAAGUUUGUAUUUGGUGAAAUCUGAGAUAUUUGCUUUGGAUUCAUGACAUUGUACUUUUAUGUGCGUAAAGUUACUGGACUACAUCAGUUCUAGCUGCACACACAUAUAGAUUAUCUUGGACUCAUGGGUAACAUCAAUAAAUAUCUUAGAGAAAAGAAAAUGUAGCUUUUUUUGAGAGUAACAUGCAAGUAUGACAAGAUCACUAAUGACGAGUUGGUGUUGUGGUUACAAUUUUUAGAUCAUUUAGAAGAGAUUUAAGAGUACACAAGUUCAAGUCGUGUUAGGAGUAGUCUAUUCUCUUUAGAAAGUAGUCGUAAAUUACAUAUUUGAGUCUCACUCUACUACCAUCAUUUAUGUUUCUUUAUGUUCUUAUGCUUGUAGCGCUUUGAUGAAUUUUCCUUGUAGUCCGAAUGUUUGAGGUUUUAACGAAGUUGUGUUAUAAAAGAUAAAAGAUAUGCUAUACUUAGGAAUAAUUGCUGAUUCCAUAAAUUUGUAUAUGAAAACACAGACAUCCGUCCAGAAGUAAUUAUUUAUUUAGUACACGUUUGUUGCAGUGAUUUAUCAUUUAACAAGUUGACUGGUGAUGUAAAUGGAGUAAGGGCACCAUACUAUACGUAAGUACUAUAAUAUGAGAUUGAGAAUGAUAAAGAGACAUUAUCACAGUAUCUUCUUUGACAUGUUCUUUCAGCUAUUUGACUGGAAAUAGGCUCUCUGGAGACAUUGUAUUUGAUGGUUUUCUCAAUAGCAAAUCUAAUAUGUACGUUUAACCAUCUUGACAUUUUACCCCCCAAAAAAAUGCACGUGUAACCUUUUCCGUUCUCUAUCACUUGUGCUAUUUUUCGUCAUGUUAACUAAUCUUUUUGGUGAUUUUUUUAUUUUGGCAAUCUCUCACAGUGAUCUCUCGUACAACAAUUUCUCAUGGUCGUCUGGCUGCCAGGAAAAGAUGUACGAACAUGAAAUCAGUAACAGCAAUAUUAAUUAACUUAUUUACUUAGCUCUAUGUUUAUAACCUGCUGAUCAUGUUGAAGUUUUUUAUUUUCACUUUUUGUUGAAUCAGUAACAUUAAUACAUACCGGAGUUCAUAUUUGAAGAACAACUUGUAAGUACGGUAACUAGGCAUGGGUGCAAGCCGGGUACUUGGUCUUUUUCCCUAUUCUCUAUUUGACUUGCCUUGUGCGAGUAUUAGAAUUUUUGGCUUGUACUUAGUAAUCAAGUACUUGCAUAUAUUUUUAAUACUUGCAAAUUAUUUGGUAAUACUUAAUACUUGUUUAUUUAGGUUUAAAACUUUAAAACUAAAUGUACCAAAACUGAUAAGUACAAUUAAACAUGGAAUCUUAUUUUUCCAUAUACUUGUUACUUUAUUCAAUCAAUUCAAGUAAUUUGAUUUAGUGAGUGUAUAUAACCCAUUCAAAAUAAGUACUUAUAAUAUAAAAUACCUGAAGAAUAAUAUUUUUAAUUUUUAUUACAAUGUCAGAAGUAAAACAAGUAUUUUAAUAGGUCAUAUAUAUACUUUUAGAACCAAUAACAACUAAUAAAACAACUAAUGGAUCGAGUAUUAGAAAAAAAUCGUAAUACUUGAUACUUGACUUGUAUUUGCAAGUAGUAAGAUUUGCGGAUUUGCUACUUGAUUUAACAACGUCAAGUACUUGCUUUUUCAAGCCGGGUAGCAAAUAUAUCAAUGUCCAGCUCUAACGCUAACCUCUAUGUUGAAACAGUAACCUGCUGUUUAUCUUGCAACUAUCAAAUCUAAAACAUAGGAAUCUCAUGCUUUAGAAAACAGCAAUAGUAAUAGGCUUUGAUUUUUUUAUAAGCCGCCAGUCCCUACUAACUUUGUGGCCUGAAGCACAUUGAAAUAAUGUGGCCUCAUAAUUUAACUAUCAAAUGAUUAUAUACUAUAACUUUUUAAUUACAACUUAAUUAUCUUUAUAUUUUUAAAUAUUUAGGUUGUUUUUAUUCAAAGAUGAGCCAAUAAUUUAACACGAGAAUAAUAGAAAUAAUGUUUAUUUGAAAUUUAAUGUAAUUUUAUAAUUAUCACAGUAAAAAAUUAAUAACUGUAAAAAUGAUAUAAAGCUAGAAAAUCAUAAAUUAAAUUCAGUGAGAAAAUAUUAAAAUAUGGUUUAAAUAGAUAAAUUUAUAAGAGAAUAAAUUAUUAAAAAUGAAAAAAAAUCUAAAAAAAAAUAAGUUAAGUAAAAGUAAAUAACUCUAUAAAUUAAUAUAUUUUCCCUGCAGCUAAACAACCAUUGGACUAAUAAUGUGACAACUAUGUUAUUUUAUUAAUUUAUAAAGUUAUUAAUUUACAAUAAUUAUUAAAAUAUCGUAGUACCAUUAUUAAUAAAAUCGUUUGGAACAUAUUGUGCCGAUGAGUUGCCUAACAAUUUGGUAGUCUUUUCAUACAGAACUGGGCUUCUUCCAUGUGCUGGUCCUAUCAACUGCACAAGCUGUGAGUACACAGUAUAUGAUCCUGUCUUAACUUUUCUCUAAAUCACAUAUGAAGCUGAUACUUCUCUUUCCUGUUAAUUAUCUCUUUCUGUUGACGUUGGUAGUCGUUAUGGACUGUAUUUGUAGAUCGGCGGUUUCUACAUAUAAAUUGUGGUGGAGACAGCAUAGUUACUACAAACUCUUCAUAUAAAAUCACAUAUGAAGCUGAUAAUAACAUUACCAAAGCCGCAACAAAUCAGCACAUCAAAAAUUGGGGAAUCAGUAAUACUGGUGACUUUAUGGAUGAUGAUAUUAAUGAUGACGCAUACACCAUUUCAACUACUAGUAUGACACCACUUGGAGAUUCUCAUGGUCUUUAUAAGACCGCACGUCGAUCUGCUCUCUCUCUUGCUUAUUAUGCAUUUUGCUUGGAAAAUGGAGACUACAAUGUGAGCCUCCAUUUUAUGGAGAUUCAGUUUUCAGAACCACACGGUCGUCUGGGCAGACGCAUAUUUGAUGUCUAUGUUCAGGUUAAGGAUCUGUUUUUACUAAAUAUUUGUCUACAGUAAUCAUAGUAUGGAAGAUUGACAUUCAUUUCCUUUUCCUCUUGUUAGGGUAAACUGUUCUUGAGUGAUUUUAACAUCAAAGAGGAGGCUAAAGGGAAUCUGAAGCCUGUUAUCAAAGAACUGAAAGCUGUUGAUGUGACCGAUCAUAUGUUAGAGAUCCGGUUGUAUUGGGCUGGGAAAGGGACAACAAUGAUACCCAAAAGAGGAAACUAUGGUCCUCUUAUCUCUGCAAUCUCCUUGUGUCACAGUAAGUAACACUUCUUAUUUACUCCAUUGUAUUUGAUUAUCUCAAGUCUUUGCUUCACUACAAGAAAACAUGCAAAUCCCAACGGAAAAUUCCAUCGGGCUUUCCCGACGAAGUCAUCCAUCGGGUCUAUUUUACCGAGAAAAAAAAUAUCUGUCGGAAAUUUGUGGGGACAUCUGUUGGGAACUCUGCCUUGUUUUCUUGUAGUGCUUCAACAACCUUACUCUCGUAUAUCUUUCAAGGCUUUUUUAACAACAAGUUGUUUCACUCUCAAACUGCCAUAACUGGAGAACAUUACGCUUUCACCUAACGAUAAUAUUCAUCUUUCAAACUUUCAGGCCAGGAGCCACGAUGUGGAGGUUCUUAGACAAAUAAAAACUACCUUGUUAACAAUGUCUUUCUGUAUACUGUUUGUAAUAUGAUGAAUUAUAUUUACACAUUUGUAGCGGAGAAAAUCAAACAUCACAUUAGAUAUCCCCUGAUUGUGGGGGGAACGGGUGCCUUGGUAACAAUUAUUCUCUUGGCUUUGGGAAUAUAUGGUCGGAGAAGAUGCAGAGCAGACAACAACACAAGAGAACGUGGUAUGAAUCCAUUUGUGGUACAUAACUAAUUCAUUUUAGCAUUACUAUAAUGAUUUUCUACUGAACAUAUGAUCUUGUAGAUCUGAGAGCACAGGGUUUGCAAACUCUUUGCUUUACAUGGAGGCAACUUCAAGCUGCAACAAACGAUUUUGAUCAAGCCAACAAACUUGGAGAAGGAGGUUUCGGAUCCGUAUUCAAAGUAUAAUAAAACAGAUGCUAAGUUCUUCUCAAGUAUGGAUGUUUUUUUUUUGGUUUCUGAUAUGAGAAACUUAAUGCAGGGAGAGCUGUCAGAUGGAACAAUCAUAGCAGUGAAGCAGCUUUCUUCCAAGUCAUGCCAAGGAAAUCGAGAAUUUGUGAAUGAAAUAGGAAUGAUCUCAGGUUUGAAUCAUCCAAACCUUGUCAAGCUUUAUGGAUGCUGUGUCGAGAAGGAACAAUUGCUGCUCGUGUAUGAGUACAUGGAAAACAACUCACUUGCUCUUGCUUUAUCCGGUAAAUAAAUUAAUAGAAAUUUUCUAGGAUAGACCUAAAUUUUUUUUGUCACAAAUAUAUAUCUUAAAAAUAAAAAAAGACCAAAAUAGACUUAAAUAUUUUUUAUCAUUUUUUUUUGAGCAACAAUUCAUUAAUAGAAAAAGACCGAAGUUUUACAUGACCAUAGUUGUAGCUAGAGCUUUCUUAGCAAGAGUGUCAGCAGCGAUAUUGUCUAAAUGAGGAAUGAAACAAAAGCAAGAAACAGAGAGAUACAAGACAGGUUGUGGAUAUCCCGGAGGAUACCAAAAAGCUCUCUCCCACUCGGAUGAUUGUCUGAGCUGUCGGAUUUGAUGAGUAGUUUUCUGUACCUGAAAGAAUGUGCUUGUAGUAGCGCUUCCCUUAUCGCCAUACCCUCUGCCACCAGUGGGGAGGAAACGAAGUGUUCUAUUGCAGCUCCUUUGGUCAAGACUUUCCCGGUAUGGUCCGAGAAAAUCCAAGCCAACCCCGCUUUCUUUUCUGUUUCCUUCCAGGCUGCAUCUGUAUGAACGGUGAUGACUUCGUGGUGUCCUUGUAGCAUGGGGGGGGGGGGGGGGNNNNNNNNNNNNNNNNNNNNNNNNNNNNNNNNNNNNNNNNNNNNNNNNNNNNGGGGGGGGGGGGGGAAGCUUGGUUGUUGUCCGAUAUGUUUAGGAGUUACAUGUUGCAGUUGUGCAGCUUGCCAUUCUCGUGCAUCCACUAUUGCCUUAGACAGGGUUUCUUUUGCAUCAAAGUUUCUCUUCUCAAAAGUCUUGUAGUUCCUUGCAAUCUAUAUGUUCCAGCAAAUCCAUGGGAAUAAGGAUCCCAACACCAUACCUGAUGGUGGUAGGUUAAGAGCUUUCCUUGAAGCCUUAAGUGCUUUUGGGAACUCUGUACUCGCUAUUAUGCUUGACACAUGUUGGAUCGGAGACUGGUUCCAGAUUUGAAUCGCAAACGAGCACGUAAGGAAUAGAUGGUCCGCUGUUCUCUAGCUCCACAAUGGAUACAGUUGAGGUUUGUCGCGAUAAUCCCUCUCGAUUCCAAAUUAUCUCCCAAGGGUAAGGCCUUUUGGACUAUUUUCCAUAAGAACACUCGCAACUUCGGUGGAAUGGGGAUCAACCAAAUAUCUGCCAUCCAGUAAAAGUUUGCUUGUUGAGGAGUACCCUCUGCUAGUGUUCUUUUUGCCAUCGCUGUAUAAUAACCGGUUUUCGUUGAGUAGUCUCCAUUUCUUGUGCCUAACCAAGAGUGAGCAUCUCUGCUCCUCGUCUUGCUUGGCUUAAGCAAGAAAAUCUCUUCAGAAUGAGAGGGUAAUAGUAAUUCAACUUUAUCCCGAUCCCAGUCUCCUGUUAUAGGGUUCAGUACCGCUGCAACGUUGAGGCUUUUGGAGCCAGCGUCUGGUGGGCCUAUCGGUCUACGUGGUUCCUCUGUCGACAGCCACGGUUCGUCCCACAUCAUGGUGUCUUCUCCAUUCCCUAUCGCUUUCCUAGUGUUUUGUAACAAUAGGUCUCUACCGCAAAGUAUGCUUCUCCAUCCAUGGGAGCAUGAAUUCGAAGCAGACACAGAUAGGAAUGGUUCAAUGGCGCAAUAUUUACCCAUCAGUACUUUUGCGAGUAAGCAAUCAGGUUUUUUCAGUAAACACCAGCCUUGCUUGGGUAAGAGAGCAUCAUUGAAGGCUUCAAUGUCGCGGAAUCCGAGUCCUCCAUCAGCCUUUGAUUGAGUCAAUCUCUCCCAUGAUACCCAACACAUCUUCUUCUUCUCUUGACUCGUAUCCCACCAAAAUCUCGUGUAUGCAGAUUGAAUCCUCUUUGUAAGACUCUUUGGCAGCUUGAAACACAUCAUGGAAUGUGAUGGCAUAGCCGAAAGAACCAUUUUUAACAUGGUUAACUCCCCCCCCCCCCCACCCCAGAGGGGNNNNNNNNNNNNNNNNNNNNNNNNNNNNNNNNNNNNCCCCCCCCCCCCCCCACCGCAGAGAGUUGUCGGGUGCUCAUGCUUGCGGCUUUUUGAUGGAUGCGAUCAACAAUCAAUGUAAAUAGAUCCUUUUUUCUUCUCCCGAAAUGUUCAGGUAGCCCUAAGUACUUUCCCACUAUGCCUUCCUUAGGGAUACCUAAACUCGCCAUUACUCUCUCUCGGAUAUAUCGCUCGGAGUCUUGUUGGAGAAUGUAAUUGACGACUUCGCAGUGUUAAUCAUCUGGCCUGAUGCAGCUUCGUACUUUGUCAGUACCUCCUUUAAGGCGUUUACACUUGUUGGCGUCGUUUUGGUGAAGAACAUUGUAUCGUCUGCGAAAAAGAGAUGAUUGAUUUUUUGGCUAGCUCUCGCCACCAGCACUCCUGCUAGGGAUCCGAUACUUUGGGCUUUAGUACACAGACCGGAUAAUACCUCGCUGCAAAGUAUAAAGAUAUAUGGAGACAGCGGGUCUCCUUGUCGGAUUCCUCGAGACGGGCAUAUCAGUCCUUGUGCUUCUCCAUUGAACAGGAUUGAGUACGUCACUGAGGAGAUAAGUCGCAUAAUCCAGCCACAUAAACUGUCAUGGAACCCAAGUCUACGCAUUACUGCUUCAAUGAAAUUCCACUCGAGUCUAUCGUACGCGUUGCUCAUGUCUGUUUUUACCGCCAUAGAACAGCGUUUUGUAGCUCCGGAUCUCUUCAGGAAGUGUAAAGUCUCAUGGGUUAUCAUGAUGUUGUCUGUUAUCACUCUUCCAGCUACAAAUGCUGAUUGGUUUUCGGCAAUGAUGAAAUCGAGCACCGGCUGGAGUCUUCGUGUGAUUACUUUGGAGAUAAUUUUGUAAUAAACGUUGCACAAAGCUAACGGUCUGUAAUCUGCAACCGUUUUUGGAGCCAAGAUCUUUGGUAUGAGGCGCAGAUGUGUGUGGUUGAUGUUCGCAGGAAGGGCUCCGAGCCCAGACGGGUUCUCGGCCGGUUUCUUCAGGACAAACUGGACGACGGUGGGGCCUGCAAUCAUCUCGGAGGUUACUGAAAUGUUUUAUCAAAAAAAGUAAAUAUACACUUAUAGUCCUAGGGUUAAUUAAUCUAGACAUUAGAGUUUAGGGUUUAAGGUCUAAAGUUUAGGGUUAGGAUUUAGAGUUGAAGAGUGGGGUUUUGGGGAUAUGAUUUCAAAUUUUAAAAAAUAAAAAAAAAUGUAAAAUUUUCAAAAUAAAAAAUGUUAUUUUGGUCAUUUUAGUUUUUGAGAUCUAUUUUACAAAAACUUAAAAAUGUCUAUUCGAGACCUAGAAAUUAAUUUAUUUUUAUUUUUAUUAAUAAAUUAAAAUUCAUUCAGCGUUCCUUUACGUCUUGAGCCUAAUUCAAGUGUGCAUAUCUCUUCCAUAUAUGUUAUCACAUGUCCCAUUUCCAGGAAAGAGCACAACAAAGUUAGAAUGGGCAAUGAGACAAAAAAUCUGUGUAGGAAUCGCAAGAGGGCUUGCAUUCCUCCACGAAGGAUCUAUAGUCAGGAUGGUUCAUCGUGACAUUAAAACAACAAAUGUGCUUCUAGAUGCUGACCUAAACGCAAAGAUAUCUGACUUUGGAUUGGCUAGGCUCCACGAAGAAGAACACACUCACAUUAGCACCAAGAUUGCAGGAACCAUGUAAGUUAGUAUAUUAUAAAACAAAAACUGCACCAUAGCCAAAUAAAUAUAUCUUAGUCUUUAUUCUUGUUACAAUGCAGCGGAUACAUGGCUCCAGAGUAUGCAUUAUGGGGUCAACUAACAGAGAAAGCAGACGUGUAUAGCUUCGGGGUUGUGGCCAUCGAAAUUGUUAGUGGCAAGAGUAAUACUAAACACAAGGGAAGUGCUGAUCACGUCUCUCUUAUCAAUUGGGUAACCUUGGAGAUUGUUUUUCAUUUAAUAUCCGUAUGCUUGUGUUAUACGUUUACUUAGACCACUUUUGUGAAUCUCAGGCAUUGAUGCUGCAACAGACAGGGGACAUAAUGGAUAUUGUAGAUCCAGUGCUUGAAGGUGAUUUCAACAGCAAAGAAGCAGUGAGGAUGAUCAAAGUUGCUCUCGUUUGCACACAUUCAUCUCCUUCUUUAAGGCCUACAAUGUCUGAGGCUGUACAAAUGCUCGAAGGAGAGAUUGAAGUAACACAAGUUAUGUCAGAUCCUGGUUUAUAUGGACAUAACUGGAGCAUCUCGAAGCUGAGGGACGCUGAUACACAUGCUAGCUCGAGCACAUCUGGUGUGACCGAUCAAACAGCAUCGACAAUGAAGUCCUCUGUUUCCGGUAGUGAUCUCUACCCAUUGUACCCCGAAUCUGUGAUUCUGAACUCCACAGUGGAGUUGCCUUCCUCGUCGAUGUGAUAUCAAAAGAUGUGCACGAGUCCUUAAGAGGAAGCAAUGGUCUGUGAAGUAAUCUUAUAGCUACCUAGUCAUAUCAUUAAAGUUGUCUGAAAUCUUAUUACUAGGUUAAUUUACAUAUAUCUAAAAACACAUCUCUAGUGCUUUUUGAAUCAAACUCUCUUUCCUAUAACUUUCCUAAAAUCAUUUACAUAUUCUAAGAAGAUUCGCUGCACAAAUUGAAAAUAUUUUACUUUCUUUCUUUUAUACAAAAAGGAAGCUUUUUAGUUUCAUAAUAUUUUUUAAAUGAAACUUUUGGAACUAUAUAUACACACAUAAAGGGAUAAAAGAAAUGGGUCAUUCAUGAACCUUCACCUGUUCAUCGCUGCCAAAUUGUACAAUAAUUCAAAUAUUAAAUAGCUUUGGUCUUAUGUGUAUCGCGACUUUCUACUAGCGACGACCAAGAAGACCUAUAAGUAGAUAACAUCCUUUCACUAUUACACUUAUUUAGUUAAACAAGUCCACAAAUUUUGAAUCGAUCAUGUGGACCGCCUCCUCGGCUCUCGUUCUGUUCUUCACCAUCAUCACCAGCUUCUUCUCCACUCUAACAACAUCCGCUUCACCAGCUCUCCAUCCAGAUGAAUGUAUUAAAUCAAAAUCUUGAUCCUUAUAAUAUCAAAGGUCAGUAUCCAUAAUUUUUUUCAUAUAUAAUCUCGAUAAUUUGUGCAGUGAAAGCGCUUGGUGAGAUAGCUACUACACUUGGAAUCAAGAGACUGAACCUAAGUGAUGGAGAUCCUUGUCUUUUAAAAACUCUAAAACUUGGUGUUGUUUCUAAUUCGGAUUCGGAUAUGGAAAACAUCAUUGCUUGUGAUUGUAGUUUCAACAACAACAUGACAUGUCAUAUUAUAGAACUGUGAGUGUGAAUCUUUUAUCUUCAAUUAUCAAAUCUUUAUUUUCUGAUGAUUUUUUUUUUUUUUUUGAGAAAUCACAGAAUACUCAAGUCCGUAAGUCUUUCGGGGAAACUCCCGCCUGAGUUGGCCAAACUUCAGCAUCUCCAGAAGAUGUGAGUUUAGAACUUAUGAUUAGUCGUUGGUUUUGCAAACCAUGGUUCAUAAUCCAUUUUAGUCAUUUGUGAUUUUUUUUAACAAAAGUGAUUUGGUUGAUCUAUAUCUAACAUGGAGAUAAAUAAAAUUAAAAAAUGUGUUAAUUCUUAAAGUUUUCAUUUAUGUAUAUGAUGCCACACUACAAAAGUACAGCCUCGUACCUAGUAUCCAUAAUGGCUUAGUCACCCGAACAUAUGAUGAUUAAUCAAAACAGAAUAAACAGAAAUUCGAACUUUCUUUUUUGAACAUUGGCUUAGAAAUUCGAACUUCUUUAGUCUGGAAAUCUCCCAUGUUGACAUUUUAUAGUGAGUUUCUGCUCUUUCUUGCAGAAACUUGUGCCGAAACUACCUUUCGUGACUGACUCGUACUUCUGGCCAGCUUUGCGUCGUGAUGUGGAAAGAUUCGUGACUCGAUGCACGACUUGUCAAAAGGGUAAGGGUCACGCCUCCAACGCAGGACUUUAUUUGCCCUUACCGAUUUGCCCUUACCGAUUCCAACUCAACCUUGGAGCGAUAUCAACAUGGAUUUCGUCUUAGGACUUCCCUGGACACAGCGCGGCAAUGAUUCCAUCUUUGUGGUCGUCGAUCGUUUCUCUAAGAUGGCACAUUUUGUUCCGUGUAAAAAGACCACAGAUCCUGUGCAAGUCGCUCAACUAUUCUUUUGGUGAGAUAUAUAGGUUGCAUGGUCUCCCUGUGUCGAUCGUCUCUGAUCGUGAUUCCCGAUUCAUUAGUCACUUCUGGCGUUCUCUGUGGAAGUUAUUCAAAACCAGUUUGAACAUGAGUUCCGCGUAUCAUCCACAAACAGAUGGCCAUACUGAGGUCACGAAUCGAAGCUUAGGGAAUAUGUUGCGUUGCUUGGUUGGUGACAAUCUCCGUUCGUGGGAUACACUUCUUUCCCAAGCCGAGUUCGCACACAAUCAUGCCAACAAUCGCAGUCUCGGUUUCAGUCCCUUCAAAGUCGUUUAUGGAGUUUUACCUCGUGGACCAUUGUCUUUAACAACACUGCCACAGCCGGGAGAGUUCCAUGGUCGGGCGGUGGAGCUUGUUGACGAGUUGACUAGCAUCCAUACACAGGCGCAAGACAACUUGCAAGGCACGGCAAUAAAAUACAAACGCGCAGCAGACAAGCAUAAGCGCGAAGUUCAUUUUCAAGUCGGAGAGUUUGUGUGGGCUGUUUUAACGAAAGAAAGAACGUUUUCCGGUGGGUCAGUAUAACAAGCUGAAGGCUCGAAAAAUAGGGCCAGUGGAGAUCGUGGAAAGGAUGAAUGCCAACGCCUACCGUUUGGCUUUACCUCCUCACGUGCAUACGGCUGACGUCUUCAAUGUCCGGUACUUGUUCAAAUACGAACCCGAUGACAUUACACUUGCAGGAUUCGUGGACGAAUCGUCCUUAGGGGGGAGACCUGAUGUAGCGUACAUAUCCUCUCGGGCUUUGGUGUUCUUAUUUCCUUUUCUAAGUUAUCUAUGUUUUCCUUUUAAGCUUAUGUUUAGGUUUUCCUUUAUUCUUUUGUCUUAGGACUUAUGUCCCUAUAUAUUGUGAUCUCUUGGCUUUGUGAGAGACAACUUUUGAAUUAUUGAUUAAUAUACUUAGAGUUUUGGUGUUAACAAACUCUUCAAUCCUAACUUCCGGGCAUUCUAUAAGAAUUCAACGGUGUUAAAAAGGCUUAGAUAACAGGUAUUCUCAGAAUUCAACGUUACCUUCGCGUUAUCGGUUACUAGACGGUACUUCCGCUCCGUCAAAACCUCACUUCCAUGUCAGCUCUCUCUUUCUCUCUCUCUCUCCCUCCCUUGUAAUCUUCAUGAUCUGGUAGGUAAUUUUUCGCUUUCUUGCAGCUCGUUCUGCGCAAAUCGUUUGUCUGGGCAAUUACCUACUGGUUUACAAAACUUUAAGAGUCUAAAAUUCCUGUACGUCUCAUACCUGUAGCCUCUAGGGGUAUGCCUUCUAAUCAUUAGUCUAAUAUUAAUUUUAUUGUAAUGAAUUUUUCAGAGGGGUUGAAGCCAACCAGUUCUCUGGUCCUAUUCCUGAUGAGCUUGGUAACAUGAUCAACCUAACAGGAUUGUAUGAUUCUCUUUGAAUCUUAACUAUCUUCCAAAACAACAAGAAUCAUUGCUUUUAUUGAAAUAGUUUAAGGAUUUAGAUAUAAUAUCUUCUGAAAAACUGGACUUUGCAGGGAACUUGCGUCCAAUCACUUUACAGGAAGUCUUCCUAGCUCUCUUGCUAGACUGGUAAAUCUUAAGAAAUUGUAAGUUGUUGCUUGAGUUUUCAAAAAGCAUUUUGCCUUUUUAGCUGGAAAUGCUCUUCUUUAAUUAUGCUUGGAUGUGAGUAAAUUUGUGAAGCUCCUCAGCGGAUGCAUUAGGUUUGAAACUUUGAAAAAAAUGUUCUUAUAGAUUGAAUUGCAACCUCUUGGUUAGAGAUUUUGCUUUGAGAUUUUUUCCUUGACUCGUAAGGAAGUGAACUAACUGUUUGUUUACACUAUGCAGUAGGAUAAGCGACAAUAAAUUCACUGGCAUCAUCCCAGAAUAUAUUGGCAACUGGUCUCGGCUUGAAAGGCUGUAAGCUUUUUCAUCAUCACUAAUGUAUUUUCUCUUACAGUUUGUGUUUUAAUAUAAUCUAAGUUUGGUCGAAUAUGAUCUUCAGAGAUCUACAAGCAAGUGGACUGAAAGGACCUUUUCCUGACGCAGUGGCCCGCCUAGAAAAUCUUACUAAUCUGUAAUUAACUAUCUCAAACUAAAUGAUCAGCUAAAGAACCAUUGAAAUGAAUAUACUGACAUCUAUCUAAUAUUCAUUUUCAGGUUUAUUAGUGAUAUGACUGGGAUAAACUCUUUUCCUACUAUAUCUAGCCAAGCCAUCAAAGACCUGUAUGUGUGUUUUCAAGAAAUCAUGAUUGUAUUUGAGGAUAUCAAACUAAAAACCCCGUCCCUGUUUCAGGGUUUUGAGGAAUGUGAGUAUGUCUGGUCAAAUUCCUUCUUACAUUUGGAGUAAACCGAACUUGAGAUCUCUGUAAGUUUGUUCUGGUGAAAUCUGAAAACUACUUAUGCAGAAUUUACUCAAAGAUGUGCAUACGUUAUGUUGUUUGCUGCAGUGAUUUAUCGUUUAACAAGUUGACGGGUGAAGUUCUUGGAAUAAACCCAACACCAAAAUUUACGUAAGACGCAUAUAAUGUUAAGAUAUAUAACACAUAAUCACAGGUAUCACACACACGGAUGAGUUAUAGUUUUGAUGUGUUGUUGUUACUGGCAAUAUGCUUUCGGGGGAAAUUAAAUCUGGUGUUUACCUCAACAGCAGAUCAAAUAUGUACGUUUCAGUCUUUCCCUUGUUUAAUUACAUGGCGUUAAAAAUCGUUCUUCAUGUAAACUAAUCUUCCAGUUGGUUUUCUACAGUGACCUCUCUUAUAACAAUUUCUCAUGGCCAUCUAGCUGCCAAGAAAGGAGAUACAUACAUACCAGAGCUCAUCCUUAAAGAACACUUUGUAAGUUCACUCUUCUGCGUUGCAACAAGAAUGCCUAAAACUUAGUAGAAUUCUUUUGCAAGUUUUCUUCCGANNNNNNNNNNNNNNNNNNNNNNNNNNNNNNNNNNNNNNNNNNNNNNNNNNNNNNNNNNNNNNNNNNNNNNNNNNNNNNNNNNNNNNNNNNNNNNNNNNNNNNNNNNNNNNNNNNNNNNNNNNNNNNNNNNNNNNNNNNNNNNNNNNNNNNNNNNNNNNNNNNNNNNNNNNNNNNNNNNNNNNNNNNNNNNNNNNNNNNNNNNNNNNNNNNNNNNNNNNNNNNNNNNNNNNNNNNNNNNNNNNNNNNNNNNNNNNNNNNNNNNNNNNNNNNNNNNNNNNNNNNNNNNNNNNNNNNNNNNNNNNNNNNNNNNNNNNNNNNNNNNNNNNNNNNNNNNNNNNNNNNNNNNNNNNNNNNNNNNNNNNNNNNNNNNNNNNNNNNNNNNNNNNNNNNNNNNNNNNNNNNNNNNNNNNNNNNNNCUUGAGAGAAAAUAGAUUUGUGAGUGUUUUUCUAGUUUGAAGAUUUGUUUGAGUUUGAAGUUUGUAGAAGAAGAAGAGAAUCCCUUUCUCUUCCCAGAGAAGCUUCUAAACCCUCUUGUUUUCUUUAUUUUCUUUUAUAAUGUCAAUUAUGAAUUCUGUUUUUGGUUCCAUGUGUGAGUAAUCUACUAGUUAGGCUAGGGUGAUUCAAAGGAAUCCAUGAAUCCAUGAAACUGAUAUGUUAAAGAAAAGGGGUAAAUCAUUUGGUUCUUCAUCUAGAUCGAUCUUAAAGCUUGAAUUAGAAGGUACACCUAGUUCUUGAUCAUUAGGAAGUUCAACACACCAAAAGUGAUAGUUAAACUCCUGAAAAGAAUCUAGAUGAGCAAGUCUUCGUAACCAACGAGAGUUGUUGUUAUGGAAUUUGUGAACAAAUCGAACCUGUUAAAAUGCAUGUUUAGAAUUAUGAAUAUGGCGAGAGUUGAUAUUUAAGAUUCUAAAACAUAGGAUUUAGUACUGCGAGAGUAGGCUAAAUUAUUUAAGCUGUUUGAGUUCAAGAACGGUUCUAAAACAUACCCCUUGUUUAAUGUUUGUUUCUCGAUUUAUGUCAUUCCCGAGAAUUACCCGAUGCCUAACGUUUUAAUCUAUAAUUUAAAUUUCAUUUCAAUUUAUUUACAAGUUGUGACAAUUAAAAGCUACCAAACAAACAAUCAUUUUCGUUCUAGCUUGACUUUACUCUAAUAGAUUCAUAGUGUAACCUUGGUCUCUGUGGAAUUCGAUCCCUAAAUACUACUGCGCACUACCGUGCACUUGCGGUUGGUUUUAGUGGUAAAACCUGAGCACAUCAAGUUUUUGGCGCCGUUGCCGGGGACCAAUAGCGUUACCUUUGGAACUAAGACUAGAGUCUAGUCUAGAACCUUAUUUUUUCAUAUUACUUAUAAAUUCUUUCUCGAUUUCCUUGCUUGUAUUGCAGGUACAUGAACACGAGAAGCCGAAGUUCUGAAAACUUGGCGGUUGUUUCUAACGAAGAACUUGCAAGAAUCGAAAGAGAGAACAACAGAAACAGAAGAAGAAACAUGGCUGGAGUGCAAGACCAGCACGAUGGACCCAGAAAUGGGCAAAAUUUUCCUAUCGGUGAUGAGCAAAACGCAGAUAACCCUGCAAAUGCUGGCAACGCUGCUGCUGCCGCUGGAGUUUUCCGACAACCUUUUCCUAUACCAGGACAGAGGAAAAAUCAACCUCGUCCUAUUGGAUCUAUCGACACUCCGCACACAUUCUAUCACAAUCGAUCCGCAAUACAACCUCCUCGUGUCACCAGGCAAGACUAUGAGAUCAAACCUCAAAUGAUAGCUCUGGUCAAACAGAGCAUGUUCUAUGGUCUCCCGUCCGAAAGCCCCAUGGACCACAUUGAGACUCUUGAAGAAAUUUGUAGCACGACACGAUCAAAUGGAGUUCCCGCUGAUUUUCUACGAUGCAAGCUGUUUGCAUUCUCGCUGGGAGACAAGGCGAUGAGAUGGCUAAAGUCUCUACCUCCAGGAUCAGGCUCUUGCAUCUUGGUAUUGAGGGCGGUUGUCCCUAAAUUUGUUGGGCUUGAGGUGCGGAUGUAGUAUCCAGCAUUUGUCCUUCAUGUGGCCCUUCUUCUUGCAGUGAUCGCAGGUCAAGUUUUUCUUCUCAUCUAGCUUGUAAGCUGCCUUGUUUGACACGGCUCGUUCAGCUUGAUGUGCCAUGUUUAAGUCUCCCUUGCCUCCAAAUAAGCCCACAGAGCCUUCUUCCUUCUGAAUUUGAGCGCAUACUUCAUCCAGGUCAGGUAACUUGUCAGCUCUCAGGAUGUGCUUGAUUAAGCUCCCAUAAGAUGGAUUAAGCGUGAGCAGUAGUCCAAACACUCUGUCCUCUUCACGCCUGGUUAAGAGAGUGGUGGGGUCGGUAGUAUGUGGUCUGAGUAGUUCCAUCUCUGCCCAAAGAGACCGGAACUUGCCAAAGUGAGGCUGGAACUCCAUAUCUCCUUGGUUGAGGGUAUUGAUAGCUCUUUUUACUUCAAAGACCCUUGUAAGGUUGGAGGUAUUUCCAUACACUUUGUAGAGUGUAUCCCACAGCUGCUUGGUAGUUUCACAGUAGGAGUAAGACUCCAUGAUGGCGGGUUCUAGGGAGCUAAGGAGCACCGUGAGAACCAUGAGAUCUUCCUGAGCCCAUUUGUCUUCAUCAGUAGCUACCACAAUCUCCUGUCCAUCUUCUCCUUGGGUGGUUUGUUUUGGAGCUGCUUCUGCUGAGACAUGACUCCACAAACCCUUUCCUCCAAGGGCAAUCUUCACCAUCCUGGCCCACAAGAGGUAGUUAAUCCCCUUCAGGGUCACAGGUAUGCUGAUGCGGUUGUUGUUAUUGUUGUUGUUGUUCUCCAUCUUGGGGAUUUACUUGGUCAGAGGUAGAGUUUAAGAACUAGAAACAGAGUUUUGAUUUUGCGGAAUUUAGAAAGGUUUCAAGAUUGUUGCUGCUCUGAUACCAUGAUAAUUUGUGGGAUUAUGAGAGCUUCUAAGUGUUUUAACCGUGAUGAAGCACACGAACAAAGUAAAAAAGGAGUGAAAUAACCGUAAGUAUUUGAGAGAGAAGAGAAAUUUGCGAAUUUAAGAGAAUGGGAGGAUUUGUGAGUUUGAGAGAAUGAAAGAAAUGUUUGUAUUAAAUUGUAUGUUUAAUUGUGUAACAUACAUGGUCUAUUUAAAGGAAACAAAAGCAAUAAGCACUCAAUGGUGGAAGAAUAAAUAACUAGUAGUGGACUAGCCACUCCUCCCCAUUUGGUAAGUGAUAUGGCCACUCCUCCCACUUCCUCCACUAACUAGUAGUGGACUAGCCACUCCUCCCCAUUUGGUAAGUGAUAUGGCCACUUCUCCUACUUCCUCCACUACUUCCCUUUGUUUAAUUCUUCAUGUCAACAGUAUAACAGUCUGUUUGCAAGCUCUGAAGAUGUCUUCAUUUCUCUUAUGGUGUAGCGGAUAUAUGGCUCCAGAAUAUGCUUUAAUGGGUCAUUUGACUGAGAAAGCAGAUGUGUACAGCUUUGGGGUUGUGGCAAUGGAGAUUGUUAGUGGGAAGAGUAAUACAACACAAAAGGGAAGCGAUGACACUGCCCCAAUUAUUAAAUGGGUACUGUGGAGCUUUCUGCUCUCUCUUUUGCCUUUUUAUUGUCCUCGGUUCUAUAGUUUAAUCCAUGACUCCUUUUGACAAUAAGUUUACAUCUAUCUCAGGCCAUGAUACUGCAACAAAAAGGGGACAUAAUGGAGAUUGUAGAUCCGAAGCUCGAAGGUGAGUUCAACAGCCUAGAAUCAGAGAGGAUGAUCAGAGUUGCUCUUGUUUGCACAAAUGCAACUCCCUCUUUACGUCCACUGAUGUCAGAGGCUGAGAAAAUGCUGGAGGGGGAGAUGGAAAUUGAUGUGUCUAGGUUUUUGGUGCUUGUUUAUAUAUUUUUUAUUAUAUUUUUCUCGAUUAUUUGUAGUUUUUCGUUCGUGUUUCAGGUAUAUAGGUGAUUGAGCGCGUUAGGAACCAUUGGCAUGUGCAUACUGGAAUUUCAAGGGAUUUUCAUGUCCGUCUGAAGGGGUUAGAGCGCAGAACGAACAACGAAUCGAACCGAGAUGCGAAGAAAAAGAAGAGAAAAAGAACCCAUCGAUCGAUGGGUUUUUCAAUAAAAACCCAUCGAUCGAUGCAUCCUCGCUGUGUCCAGCUUCACCCACGUUCUCCACUUCACCUACUGCAUCCACUCGUCUUUCAUGAUUAUGUUGGAGCCUUUGUCGAAAAAGGAGGGUCCAUGGCCGAUUAUAAAUAGGGAGGACGAGCUCCAUAAGAAAUCAUCCAUCUACACACCAUCUUAGAGAUCAAAUCUUGAGAGAAAAUAGAUUUGUGAGUGUUUUUCUAGUUUGAAGAUUUGUUUGAGUUUGAAGUUUGUAGAAGAAGAAGAGAAUCCCUUUCUCUUCCCAGAGAAGCUUCUAAACCUUCUUGUUUUCUUUAUUUUCUUUUAUAAUGUCAAUUAUGAAUUCUGUUUUUGGUUCCAUGUGUGAGUAAUCUACUAGUUAGGCUAGGGUGAUUCAAAGGAAUCCAUGAAUCCAUGAAACUGAUAAUAGCGUUACCUUUGGAACUAAGACUAGAGUCUAGUCUAGAACCUAAUUUUUCAUAUUACUUAUAAAUUCUUUCUCGAUUUUCUUGCUUGUAUUUCAGGUACAUGAACACGAGAAGCCGAAGUUCUGAAAACUUGACGGUUGUUUCUAACGAAGAACUUGCAAGAAUCGAUAGAGAAAACAACAGAAACCGAAGAAUAAACAUGGCUGGAGUGCAAGACCAGCACGAUGGACCCGGAAAUGGGCAAAAUUUUCCUAUCGGUGAUGAGCAAAACGCAGAUAACACUGCAAAUGCUGUCAACGCUGCUGCUGCCGCUGGAGUUUUCCGACAACCUUUUCCUAUUCCAGGACAGAGGCAAAAUCAACCUCGUCCCAUUGGAUCUGUCGACGCUCCGCACACAUUCUAUCACAAUCGAUCCGCGAUACAACCUCCUCCUGUCAACAGGCAAGACUAUGAGAUCAAACCUCAAACGAUAGCUCUGGUCAAACAGAGCAUGUUCUAUGGUCUCCCGUCCGAAAGCCCCAUGGACCAUAUUGAGACUCUUGAAGAGAUUUGUAGCACGACACGAUCAAAUGGAGUUCCCGCUGAUUUUCUACGUUGUAAGCUGUUUGCAUUUUCUCUGGGAGAUAAGGCGAUGAGGUGGCUGAAGUCUCUACCUCCAGGAUCUAUCACUACUUGGGAGCAAUGCAGAGCUAUGUUCUUGGACAAAUUCUACACCAAGCACAAGACGGCUAGUUUGAGGAGUAAGAUCACAAAUUUUCAGCAAAAUACCUCUGAGCCGCUGAGUGAAGCAUGGGCAAGAUUCAAGGAAUAUCAAAGGGAGUGUCCACAUCAUGGGUACUUAGAUGAGCAUAUCCUCAACAUCUUCUAUGAUGGAGCAAACUGGAACGUCAAAAACUCUCUCAACGCUGCCAGCAAUGGAGACUUUAUGACAAGAACCCAGGAGGAAGCUUACACAUUGAUAGAAAAUCUUGCCACAAGCUCCAGCAACCAAAAUGAAGAAUAUGAUAGAUCGCGAAAAGGCGAAAACUCAGAAAUCAAGAAGCUGGAAGAGAUGAGCGCAAAGAUCGAUAUGCUUAUGCAGAGGGAUCAAAGGGUUGUCAGUUCCAUCGAGGAAUAUGGAGAAGGAGCGUUUUUCUUCCCCAAUCAAGAACUACAGGAACAGCAGGCUGUAGUCAACUAUGUGGACGGACAAAACCUUGAACAGUAAGCUGCAGUGAACUACGUUGGUAGAUAGAACUAUGUGCAGAACAAGGGACUUAAUCAAAACUACCCACAAAAGUCAGAAGGACAAGGACAACAGUUUCAACCACAAGCCUACAGACCAAACCAAGGACAACAAGGAUAUCAAAACCAAAACUACGAGCAGAACCGACCUUUUGGGCAGAGCUUGGGACAAAACCGAUAUCAGAACUCUAAUUACAACCAAGGAGGAUUUCAGCAGAAGCAACCUUUCAAUUCUUUUCAACCAAAGAAUCCAACACAGUUUCAAACCGGGGAAAGCUCUGUUCCGGCUGCUAAAGAGUCUAAGCUUGAGUCAAUGCUCCAACAAUUGAUGCUCAACCAGCAAAAGACAGCUUCUGAAAUAAACACAAAGGUUGAUAACAUCAAUGUGAAGGUUGAUACCAUGUUCCAAGACAUGAACAACAAAUGGGAGUCUCUUUCAGCACAUGUCAAGAAGUUAGAGACUCAAGUCGCCCAAACUGCUGAAGCUGUCCAAAGACCUACUGGAGUUCUUCCUGGAAGAGGUGAACACAACCCAAGGAAUGAAUUUGUGAACGCUAUCACUCUAAGGAGUGGGAAGGAGCUGGUUUCUGAAGAAAAGAGAAGCAUGCCCGCUGACGAAAAGACUGCGCAGAUUGAAGAACCCACUGAGGUACAAGUUGAAGAGGCUGAAGCUGCUGAAAACAUACCGCCUAUGGUUCGAGUAUAUACCCCUAAGCUGCCUUACCCAGUGAAACAGAGGAAAUCCCGCAGAGAUUUGGAGGCAGCUAAGUGCAAAGAAAUGGUAAGCAAGUUGAAUGUGAAGCUCUCGUUUGAAGAUGCUGUUGAAAUGAUGCCUGCUCUGAAGAGAUAUGUCAAGAGCUUGGUGACUAACAAAGCCUCACCUAAGGAGAAUGUUAUGUCUAUCUCCAAAAGAUGUAGCACACUACUUCAGAACAGAGCACCAGAGAAGAUGGAAGAUCCUGGGAGUUUUGUGUUAUCAUGUGAGAUCGAAGGAGCUGUAUUCGAGAAAUCUCUCUGCGACUUGGGAUCUAGUGUGAACCUGAUGCCAUACACUGUGGCACAGAGGCUUGGUCUCACAAACUUCAGGUCAACGAAAAUCCAGCUAGUCUUCGCAGAUCGCUCAGUGAGACAUCCCGUCGGAGUUAUUUUAGACAUCGAUGUGGUGAUCGGAAACCAUAGAAUUCCUGCAGACUUUGUAGUGCUGGAGCUCGAUCAGGAGCCAAAGGACCCUCUCAUUCUGGGACGUCCAUUUCUGGCCACAACAGGAGCUAUCAUCGAUGUAAAGAAAGGGAAGAUAGAUCUCCAUCUGGGAGACAUAAUCAUGAAGUUCGAGGUGAAUAAGAUGCUGAAAAGACCCACACUGGAUGUACACACGUUCUCCAUCGAUCAUACCUCAGAAGAUGAUGAUGAAGAUGAUGAAGUAACUAAAUAGCUGCUGAGAGAUGACCCCCUAGAGAUUGCUCUUACUCUAGCUGAGAGUGAGCACGGGUAUUUAAACGAACACACUGCCGAAUUUGUCAAGAUGCUUGAUUCCGGUUUCCAAACAAAACACGAAGUAGCUUCUAUGAGCCUUGAAGAGGAAGAAUCACCAACACAAAAAGCUACUACAGACCACCUUAACCCCUGGAGCGAACUAAGAGCCCCAAAGAUAGAACUCAAAACCCUCCCAGCUGGGUUAAGGUAUGCAUUUCCUGGCCCUAAGUCAACUUACCCUGUUAUCAUAAAUGCUGAUUUGAAUAAUGCUGAGACUGCCUUACUUCUAUGUGAACUAAGAAAGUACCGUAAAGCAAUAGGCUAUUCACUAGAUGAUAUUCCUGGCAUCUCACCUGACCUUUGUAUGCAUAGAAUAUAUCUAGAGGAUGAAUCGAAGAAUUCUAUAGAACAUCAGAGGAGGUUAAACCCGAAUCUAAAAGAUGUUGUAAAGAAGGAGAUAAUGAAACUUCUAGAGGCUGGAAUAAUCUAUGCAAUCUCUGAUAGUAAAUGGGUUAGUCUUGUGCAUGUUGUGCCUAAAAAGGGUGGGAUAACAGUAAGAGCUAAUUCCCACUAGAACUGUCACUGGUCAUAGGAUGUGCAUAGACUAUAGAAAGUUGAAUGCUGCAACUAGGAAAGAUCAUUUUCCUCUCCCCUUUAUUGAUCAGAUGCUAGAAAGAUUGGCUAACCAUCCAUACUAUUGCUUUUUAGAUGGUUAUUCAGGAUUUUUCCAGAUUCCAAUUCAUCCAGACGAUCAAGAAAAGACCACAUUCACAUGUCCUUAUGGUACAUUCGCCUAUCGCAGGAUCCCAUUCGGUUUGUGUAACGCACCCACCCGCCACGUUCCAGCGGUGUAUGAUGUCUAUUUUUACUGAUAUGAUUGAAGAUAUAAUGGAAGUAUUCAUGGACGAUAUCUCUGUCUAUGGAUCUUCUUUCUCUGCUUGUCUUUCCAAUCUGUGCAGGGUACUUAGGCGGUGCGAGGAGAAAAAUCUGGUGCUGAACUGGAAAAAAUGCCAUUUUAUGGUUAGAGAUGGGAUCGUCCUUGGACACAAAAUUUCGGAAAAAGGCAUUGAAGUUGACAGGGUAAAGGUCGAGGUCAUGAUGAGUCUACAGCCACCCGAUUCAGUCAAAGGGAUCAGAAGUUUUCUAGGUCACGCAGGGUUCUACAGAAGAUUCAUUCAAGACUUCUCAAAAAUCACCAGGCCCAUGACCCGUCUGCUCUGCAAAGAGACCAAGUUUCAUUUUGAUAAAGAAUGCUUGGACGCUUUUCACACAAUAAAAGGAGCAUUAGUCAGCGCACCAAUUGUUCAACCACCAGACUGGGAAUUUCCUUUCGAGGUGAUGUGCGAUGCCAGCGAUUAUGCAGUAGGAGCUGUCUUGGGACAACGGAAGGAGAAGAAACUUCAUGUCAUCUACUACGCAAGCAGGACACUUGACGAUGCACAAUGCAACUAUGCCACCACCGAGAAGGAACUACUUGCCAUCGUCUUUGCUUUUGAGAAGUUUAGAUCCUAUCUUGUUGGAUCUAAAGUUAUAGUACACACUGAUCAUGCUGCGCUGAGGUAUCUACUUCAGAAGAAGGAUGCAAAGCCAAGGUUGCUGCGAUGGAUUCUCUUGUUGCAAGAGUUUGACCUGGUGAUCAAGGACAAGAAAGGGAUUGAGAACGGAGUCGCAGACCACCUCUCCAGGCUAAGAGUGGAAGAAGAGUUACCAUUGGCAGAUACUCUUCCCGUGGAGAACGUUUAUGCGGUGAGCAUCCAGUGCAAUGAUGGAUACGCACCUAUCAAGGACGCAAACAUCCCUAAAAUGCCUUGGUUUUCAGAAAUAGUGAACUACCUGGCCGGAGAACAAGAACCGCUCAAAUUCACCGGAAAUGACAAGAAGAAAUUCUUAAAAGACGUCAGACGCUAUCUCUGGGAUGAGCCAUUCUUAUAUAAGCAGUGUGCCGAUAAUAUUUACAGAAGGUGUGUUGCUGAAGAAGAGAUACCAGGCAUACUCUUCCACUGCCACAGUUCCAACUACGCGGGACAUUUUGCUGUAAGCAAAACCGUUUCGAAGAUCCUACAAGCUGGUUUCUGGUGGCCUAUGAUGUUCAAAGAUGCCCACUCCUUCAUCUCUAAGUGUGAUCCAUGCCAGAGACAGAGAAAUAUCAGCAAGAGGAAUGAAAUGCCACCAAACUUCAUCCUGGAAGUUGAGGUAUUUGACGUAUGGGGGAUCGAUUUCAUGGGACCAUUCUCAUCCUCUUACAACAAUAAGUACAUCCUUGUUGCUGUUGACUAUGUUUCCAAGUGGGUAGAGGCCAUAGCAAGUCCAACAAACGAUGCCACAGUGGUGGUAAAGAUGUUCAAAUCUGUCAUUUUUCCAAGAUUUGGGGUGCCAAGAGUGGUGAUUAGUGAUGGAGGAUCACAUUUCAUCAACAAAGUGUUCGAGAAGCUGCUGAAGAAGAAUGGCGUGAGACACAAGGUGGCGACUGCAUACCACCCUCAGACAAGCGGACAGGUCGAAAUCUCCAACCGAGAGAUCAAAAGCAUCCUACGGAAAACAGUGGGAGCAACAAGAAAAGACUGGUCAACCAAGCUAGAUGAUGCCUUAUGGGCAUACAGGACAGCAUACAAGACUCCUAUUGGCACCACUCCCUUUCACCUUAUCUAUGGGAAACCAUUCCAUCUCCCAGUAGAGUUGGAGUACAAAUCAUCUUGGGCUGUUAAACAGAUGAAUUUUGAUGUGAAACCCGCAGCUGAGAGAAGGAUGAUCCAGCUAAACGAAUUAGACGAGUUUCGACAUAUAGCAUUCGAAAACUCCAAGAUAUACAAGGAGCGCACAAAGGCGUAUCAUGAUAGGAAGAUCAUUCCGAGGACUUUUGCUGCAAAUGAUCAAGUCCUACUCUUCAACUCUCGCCUGAGGUUGUUUCCCGGGAAGCUUAAAUCCCGAUGGUCCGGGCCUUUCACUAUCAAAGAGGUAAAACCCUAUGGAGCAGUUGUGCUGUGGAGUCAAGAUGGUAGUGAGUUUGUUGUGACCGGUCAGCGUCUAAAGCCAUACCUAGCGUACACGGAAAUCUCCGAAGGAGAAGAUGUCUCUCUCGGAGAACCAUAGAAAGAUUGGCUAACCAUCCAUACUAUUGCUUUUUAGAUGGUUAUUCAGGAUUUUUCCAGAUUCCAAUUCAUCCAGACGAUCAAGAAAAGACCACAUUCACAUGUCCUUAUGGUACAUUCGCCUAUCGCAGGAUCCCAUUCGGUUUGUGUAACGCACCCACCCGCCACGUUCCAGCGGUGUAUGAUGUCUAUUUUUACUGAUAUGAUUGAAGAUAUAAUGGAAGUAUUCAUGGACGAUAUCUCUGUCUAUGGAUCUUCUUUCUCUGCUUGUCUUUCCAAUCUGUGCAGGGUACUUAGGCGGUGCGAGGAGAAAAAUCUGGUGCUGAACUGGAAAAAAUGCCAUUUUAUGGUUAGAGAUGGGAUCGUCCUUGGACACAAAAUUUCGGAAAAAGGCAUUGAAGUUGACAGGGUAAAGGUCGAGGUCAUGAUGAGUCUACAGCCACCCGAUUCAGUCAAAGGGAUCAGAAGUUUUCUAGGUCACGCAGGGUUCUACAGAAGAUUCAUUCAAGACUUCUCAAAAAUCACCAGGCCCAUGACCCGUCUGCUCUGCAAAGAGACCAAGUUUCAUUUUGAUAAAGAAUGCUUGGACGCUUUUCACACAAUAAAAGGAGCAUUAGUCAGCGCACCAAUUGUUCAACCACCAGACUGGGAAUUUCCUUUCGAGGUGAUGUGCGAUGCCAGCGAUUAUGCAGUAGGAGCUGUCUUGGGACAACGGAAGGAGAAGAAACUUCAUGUCAUCUACUACGCAAGCAGGACACUUGACGAUGCACAAUGCAACUAUGCCACCACCGAGAAGGAACUACUUGCCAUCGUCUUUGCUUUUGAGAAGUUUAGAUCCUAUCUUGUUGGAUCUAAAGUUAUAGUACACACUGAUCAUGCUGCGCUGAGGUAUCUACUUCAGAAGAAGGAUGCAAAGCCAAGGUUGCUGCGAUGGAUUCUCUUGUUGCAAGAGUUUGACCUGGUGAUCAAGGACAAGAAAGGGAUUGAGAACGGAGUCGCAGACCACCUCUCCAGGCUAAGAGUGGAAGAAGAGUUACCAUUGGCAGAUACUCUUCCCGUGGAGAACGUUUAUGCGGUGAGCAUCCAGUGCAAUGAUGGAUACGCACCUAUCAAGGACGCAAACAUCCCUAAAAUGCCUUGGUUUUCAGAAAUAGUGAACUACCUGGCCGGAGAACAAGAACCGCUCAAAUUCACCGGAAAUGACAAGAAGAAAUUCUUAAAAGACGUCAGACGCUAUCUCUGGGAUGAGCCAUUCUUAUAUAAGCAGUGUGCCGAUAAUAUUUACAGAAGGUGUGUUGCUGAAGAAGAGAUACCAGGCAUACUCUUCCACUGCCACAGUUCCAACUACGCGGGACAUUUUGCUGUAAGCAAAACCGUUUCGAAGAUCCUACAAGCUGGUUUCUGGUGGCCUAUGAUGUUCAAAGAUGCCCACUCCUUCAUCUCUAAGUGUGAUCCAUGCCAGAGACAGAGAAAUAUCAGCAAGAGGAAUGAAAUGCCACCAAACUUCAUCCUGGAAGUUGAGGUAUUUGACGUAUGGGGGAUCGAUUUCAUGGGACCAUUCUCAUCCUCUUACAACAAUAAGUACAUCCUUGUUGCUGUUGACUAUGUUUCCAAGUGGGUAGAGGCCAUAGCAAGUCCAACAAACGAUGCCACAGUGGUGGUAAAGAUGUUCAAAUCUGUCAUUUUUCCAAGAUUUGGGGUGCCAAGAGUGGUGAUUAGUGAUGGAGGAUCACAUUUCAUCAACAAAGUGUUCGAGAAGCUGCUGAAGAAGAAUGGCGUGAGACACAAGGUGGCGACUGCAUACCACCCUCAGACAAGCGGACAGGUCGAAAUCUCCAACCGAGAGAUCAAAAGCAUCCUACGGAAAACAGUGGGAGCAACAAGAAAAGACUGGUCAACCAAGCUAGAUGAUGCCUUAUGGGCAUACAGGACAGCAUACAAGACUCCUAUUGGCACCACUCCCUUUCACCUUAUCUAUGGGAAACCAUUCCAUCUCCCAGUAGAGUUGGAGUACAAAUCAUCUUGGGCUGUUAAACAGAUGAAUUUUGAUGUGAAACCCGCAGCUGAGAGAAGGAUGAUCCAGCUAAACGAAUUAGACGAGUUUCGACAUAUAGCAUUCGAAAACUCCAAGAUAUACAAGGAGCGCACAAAGGCGUAUCAUGAUAGGAAGAUCAAAAAAAAAAAAAAAAAAAAAAAAACUUUUCCAUCGAUCGAUCCAAACCGGAUCGAUCGAUCACUAAGAUGGUGCAAUGCGGAACAAAGUGAUCGAUCGAUUAGGUACUCCCAUCGAUCGAUGCGGAUACCCAAUCGAUGGAUCGCACAAAAACUCGGAAGCCUUUUUAUAAAUGCAUCGAUCGAUCCAUAUUGUUACAAAAAUGCAUCGAUCGAUUACUAUAAUGGCCAAAUGCGUAACAAAGUGAUCGAUCGAUCGUGUUAUCCAAUCGAUCGAUCAUACUAAAUCUCGGGAGCCUUUUUAUAACCGCAUCGAUCGAUCUGUUUUUGUACAAAAACGCAUCGAUCGAUGCGUGUGUGGGAAACGGAAUUAUAACGCAAAACCCGACCUUUUUGGAUCAAAACCUCAGAAUGUUCAAGUCUGGGGGAAUUGAUGUGUCUAGGUUUUUGGUGCUUGUUUAUAUAUUUUUUAUUAUAUUUUUCUCGAUUAUUUGUAGUUUUUCGUUCGUGUUUCAGGUAUAUAGGUGAUUGAGCGCGUUAGGAACCAUUGGCAUGUGCAUACUGGAAUUUCAAGGGAUUUUCAUGUCCAUCUGAAGGGGUUAUAGCGCAGAACGAACAACGGAUCGAACCGAGAUGCGAAGAAAAAGAAGAGAAAAAGAACCCAUCGAUCGAUGGGUUUUUCAAUGAAAACCCAUCUAUCGAUGCAUCCUCGCUGUGUCCAGCUUCACCCACGUUCUCCACUUCACCUACUGCGUUUGGAACAGGAUUUGAGAUGAUUUAGGGAUUGAGAAAUUUUUUUUCAAUUUGGUUUUUUUUUUUUAUCACAACUCGAUUUCGCCUUUCAUUUGCAUGUUGAUAUUGAGAUCUUAAUUGAUUAUAACCAUGUUGAAAGCAAAUAGUCGUUGAAAUACAUAUUGGAAUGAUGAACUUGGGGAAUGAACGGAUUAUGGAUUGAUGUUCUUUACCUGAGUCGCUAGUGUUUACUGAACUCGUGUUAGUAUUGUGCUGCUUUGAAAAACAUAUACUGCAUACUCACUUGUUUCAAAGAUUCUAUUUUGUAGAGAGUGAAGCGCACAAAAACAUCAGCAAAGAAGAACACACAAGAAGAGGGUUCAUCUCAGCGAGAGAAGCAAAGGCCAAAGAAGUGGGAUAAGUCUGAUACCACCCACUACAACAACAUGAAGAAGGUAGUCGUACCGGCUACACAACUAGCAUGUCCUGAGACGAUGACGGAGUUGGGAAUCAAAGCAGACAUUGAGGGGCUGUUCCAGAACAUGGGUCUAGGCCAACUAUGCAACCUCAACAAACCCACUUAUCCGGAGUUGGUACGCCAGUUCAUAGCAUCCGCAUACGUCAGCCAUCCCGAUGAUAGCCAUCAGGAAGGUUUUCUGGCAUUCAUAGUGCAGAAAGUAUACUUUGAGGUAUCUUUCACAGACCUCUGCGGACUAUUUGAAUUGAGUGCAGGGGAGAGGACAUCUGGUCUUUAUUGGACUUCAGAGCUGUUGAACUUCUGGGAAACGAUUGGCACAGGGGUUUAUAGAUCUUCUCAGGUAAAGGAGUCACUUAUCCGGAACCCAGUACUGAGAUAUGCCACACGCCUCAUUGGCUCAUUGCUAUACGGGACAACCACAGCUGCAUCAGUCACGCAAUGGGAGUUGUGCCUCAUGUACCAAGGUGUGAGGCAUUUGCUACCGGCAUUUGGGAACUCUACAUUCCCACCUGCUACUGCCUUCAACAUGGGAGCGGUGCUGGCCGCGAACUUAGCAGGAUACAAGGGGAAAGUAACCAAAUCCAAGAGCAAUGCAUGUGGAUUUGGUGCAGUGAUUACUCGCUCUGGUUCGGGUUCGAGUGGUACACACAGGGCAAGAAAGAAGUCCAAAAGACCCGAACAUGCAGGAACAUCUGGAGCAGGAGACGAGGAGUAGGAGCUAUCACCGGCCAGUAUUGUCAUUUGAUUUCCGACCGCGCUAUUUUAUUUCUAUUCUAACGUUUUAUGGUUUUAUUUUCUGUUGUCACACUAGGAACGGUGUAAACUAAGUCUGGGGGAGGGUACUUGUCAUAGUUCCAUUUAGGAAUCUACCAUAACUUUUUCGGUUAAUUUUGAACUUAGUUUUUUUUAUUUAUUUAUUUGAGUUCGUAUUUUUUUUUACGUGGUUUCUUCGUUUUAUUUGGUUGUUUUUUGAGUAGUUUUUAAUUCGUAUUCAGCUUUGCCUUGCUAAAUAAACCAAAUAACUAAUAUUUGAGUACCAUUCUUUCAGCUAUCAACUGCAGGCUGUGAAACAUGGAAAAGCCACAAACAUUGAUCAACCAACAACAUCCAUGCUUUUAAGAAUGUUCAAGGAAUUCAAACUGAUUGACCACUCAAUCUACUCAAAUUUUCUCAUCUUGGGGCUUGGUAUACACUAGAUCGGAAUCCUCUUCAGGACUAAAAGACGAAGUCUAUAUCGGUCUGGCUCCCCUCUCUUUCCCCUUCGAAAAAAUAAUAAUGCUAAUAAUAGGGGAUAAAGGUCAAAAAGAAGUGAUCAGGGCUUGGUGGCUGCAACCAUUAAGACUUGAAUCAUAGAAGCCUGUCAAAAAAAAAAUGUGAAACAUUUGGUUCCCUAUGUGCCGCAGGAUGAGCCCAAAGAUUCGAGGGUGAAUCUUUUCUUACCCCGGGGGACCUGAUGCAGCGUCAUCCUACUUCUUCUUGGCUUUGGUGUUUACUCUAUUUUCCUUUUCUUAAAGUUUACUUAUUUGUUUCGAGCUUUAUCUCCUUUUCUUGUCAUAGAAGAUAAGGAAAACUUAUGAUCCUUAUUCUUUAGGGUUUUACUUAUUAUUUACUAUAUAUAUCGAUGCCUUAGGUGUUGUAAGGGCACGACUUAUUUGAUUAAUAAACAGAGCUUUUAUAAACUCUAAACCUUGUUCUCGGAUAGAGCUUGACUCUCAACGAUCUCAAGAAGGCACGUUUCCUAGGUAUUCUCAGAAUCAAUAGGCUACUUGCGUUAUAAGUAACCUCAGGUUACACCAGUUGGUAUCAGAGACCUACGGUUUUGAUUUCUUAAUCAAGACUUCUUACGAUCUUUGCUAUCCACCUAUCUCCGGUUACUCUUUACCUCGUCAUUAUCAUGCCCCCACGUAAGCAAACGCCCGAAGAAUUACAAGAGGAGCUUCGCAAUACUCUUGAAACCUUCACGGCUUCGCUUCACGAUACUCUCAUACAGGCCGUUGAAACUGCUCUGACGACAGUGCUUCAACGUCAACAAAACAACCCACAGGCCAACAUUGCUCAUCGUCAUCCUCGUGCCGACGAUUCAGAUGAAGAUUUGGCAGAAAAUCUUUUUGCCGAUGGCAACCAACAGGAACAACGUAACCACGAUCGUAUCGCCGCUCCAGCUGAUCACCAAAUCAACAGACGCGAAGUUCAGCCUGAAGAAAGACAAUGGGAAAGAGGGUUUCGGAUUGAGAUUCCAGAAUUUAACGGCAAUCUUAGCACAGAAGAAUUUUUGGAUUGGCUUAGUGCGAUCGAGGAAAUUCUAGAGUUCAAACGCAUUCCAGAAGACCAGUGUGUUCCUUUAAUCGCUUCCCGUUUCAAAAACAGAGCAAUGGCAUGGUGGCAACAGAUUAAAGAAUCGCGACGACGAGCGGGAAAACCUCGCAUUGAUACUUGGGAGCGUCUCAAAAAGCAUAUGCGAAGGGCUUUUCUCCCUUACAACUACGAGCGCACUCUCUACAACAAACUCCAAGCUCUGCGUCAGGGUGGUCGGACAGUGGACGAGUAUGCAAUAGACUUCUUCCACAUGGUGUCCCGAACAGCACUUGUUGAAACAGAGGAACAACUCGUCUCACGUUUUAUAGGGGGUCUUCGCUAUCAAAUUCAAAUCGCCUUACAGCAGUUCAAUCCUCUCACAGUCUCUGAAGCUCACCAACGUGCAUUGGCGAUGGAAAUUCAAUACCGUUCAACUUGGAACACAGGAAACUCGAGGAAUCGAUCGACGACUCAAGCCGUCGACUCCAACACAACGACUAGUUCGGAUGCAUCUCCAUCUCGGCCGGCAGUAGCUCGUACUGGUACUAAUACACCAACAGACAGGAUUGUUCAAACUCGUCCUGCACGAACAGGUGCUCUUCGUUGUUUUACUUGCGGUGAGACGGGACAUAGGCAAACGGCGUGUCCAAAUCAGCACAAACGAGGGUUGCUGAACCAAGACACCAACCUUGAUGAAGAACCUAAGUAUGAUCAAUAUGACUCGGACACUCUGGCGGAGGACGAGAUCGAGUAUAUUGCAGGGGACACAGGAGCACAUGCCUUGAUAGUACGACGAAACUGCUUGCUUCCGCGCUCUACUCAAGAAUCAUGGUUGCGAACAACUCUGUUUCGCUCCACUUGCACUAUUAACGGUAAAAUAUGCAAACUCAUCAUUGAUUCAGGGAGUUGCACAAAUGUAAUCUCUACAAUUGCGGUCAAGAAGCUAGACCUCAAGACCAUGGUUCACCCGUCACCGUAUAAACUUGCAUGGCUCAACAAGGGAACGGAAAUAACUGUAUCACGUCAAGUGAUGAUCUCCUUCUCCAUUGGUGGUUAUCUUGACUCUGUUUGUUGUGACAUUGUCCCGAUGGACGCAUGUCAUCUUCUUCUUGGUCGACCUUGGCAAUACGACAAGGACGCGACUCACCGUGACAAAACUAAUACCUAUAGUUUUGAAUUUAAGGGUCGCACAAUUACGUUGCGUCCAUCUCCGGAACCGUCGGCAGUGGACGAGUUACCGGCAACAAGUACUUCAUCACCGACACCUGCAACACCAGCUCGCACUCUUCUCACUCUUCCCAAGGCGGAAUUCGAAAAGCACUUACGCGAGACUGACGUGGUAUGGGCACUGGUCGCUUCUCCUGUGAUAUCGGACCCGAGUAGCGUGGUCCCUAAGGCAUUUGACUCUUUGCUAGACAGCUUUGCCGAUGUCUUUCCGAGUGAUCUUCCCACCGGUCUCCCUCCUUUGCGCGAUAUUCAACACCACAUUGAUCUCAUGCCCAAUGCUACGCUUCCAAAUCGACCUCAUUAUCGGAUGAGCCCUCAAGAACAUGAUGAGUUGCGUCGCCAGGUCGAGGAGCUUCUAGCUAAGGGUCACAUACGCGAAAGUCUUAGUCCUGCAGCAGUUCCGGCACUCUUAAUUCCCAAGAAAGACGGUUCAUGGCGUAUGUGCGUUGAUAGUAGAGCAAUUAACAAAAUAACUGUACGCUAUUGUUUCCCAAUUCCGAGGCUUGACGGCCUAUUAGACCAAAUUGGUCGUGCUUCCAUCUUCUCUAAACUAGAUCUUAAGAGUGGUUACCAUCAGAUUCGCAUUCGUCCAGGUGAUGAGCGGAAAACUGCUUUUAAAACUCGUGAGGGUUUGUUUGAGUGGUUAGUCAUGCCAUUCGGUCUUUCGAACGCACCUAGCACAUUCAUGCGAGUCAUGAAUCAAGCCCUCCGGCCUUUCAUUGGCAAAUGUGUUGUCGUGUACUUCGACGACAUCCUCGUCUUUAGUGAGACGUUGGACAGUCAUCUUAACCACCUCCGUGAUGUCCUUCAAGUGUUGCGACAGCAAGAACUCUUUGCGGCAAGAAAGAAGUGUGUGUCUGAUGCAGCGUCAUCCUACUUCUUAUUGGCUUUGGUGUUUACUCUAUUUUCUUUUUCUUAAAGUUUACUUAUUUGUUUCGAGCUUUAUCUCCUUUUCUUGUCAUAGAAGAUAAUGAAAACUUAUGAUCCUUAUUCUUUAGGGUUUUACUUAUUAUCUACUAUAUAUAUCGAUGCCUUAGGUGUUGUAAGGGAUGACUUAUUUUGAUUAAUAAACAGAGCUUUUAUAAACUCUAAACCUUGUUCUCGGAUAGAGCUUGACUCUCAACGAUCUCAAGAAGGCACGUUUCCUAGGUAUUCUCAGAAUCAAUAGGCUACUUGCGUUAUAAGUAACCUCAGGUUACACCACNNNNNNNNNNNNNNNNNNNNNNNNNNNNNNNNNNNNNNNNNNNNNNNNNNNNNNNNNNNNNNNNNNNNNNNNNNNNNNNNNNNNNNNNNNNNNNNNNNNNGGUUUGGGGCUGCAAUGGUGCUGAAUGUGUAUCAAGUUGAUCAAAACGAGUUUGAGGUGAAGGAUGAAACUAUGAAGUAUGUUGUUGAUUUGGAGAAACGGCAUUGCACUUGUAAUGUUUUCGACAUUGACAAGAUUCCCUGCAUUCAUGCAAUUGCUGCUGCUAAGUAUAUUAAGAGAGAUGAAAACCGUUACGUCGAUACUUCUCACUUGACAGAAACGUGGGCUAAAGCCUAUGCCGAAAGCAUACACCCUGGUGGAGAGUUGUCAACGUCCACCUAUAUAGCGAAUAUUGACGAACUGUCUUGCCCACCUCCAGCUACCAAAAAGAGAAGUGGACGUCCUCCUACAAAGAGAAAGAGAUCCGUUGGCGAGUUUGGUGUUCUUGGAUCUAAAUUGAUGUGUCUAAUUUUUGGUACUUGUUUAUAUAUUUUUUAUUAUAUUUUUCUCGAUUAUUUGUAGUUUUUCGUUCGUGUUUCAGGUAUAUAGGUGAUUAAGCGCGUUGGGAACCAUUGGCAUAUGCAUACUGGAAUUUCAAGGGAUUUUCAUAUCCAUCUGAAGGGGUUAGAGCGCAGAACGAACGACGGAUCGAACCGAGACGCGAAGAAAAGGAAGAAAAAAAUAAUCCAUCGAUCGAUGGGAGAUCAUGAGCCGGAGGUUUUCUUUUAAAUGCAUCGAUCGAUGCGUUAGAGCCCAUAAACCCAUCGAUCGAUGCAUCCUCGCUGUGUCCAGCUUAACCAACUUCCUCCACUUCACCUACUGCAUCCACUCGUCUUUCAUGAUGAAAUUAGAGCCUUUGUCGAAAAAGGAGGGUCCUUGGCCGAUUAUAAAUAGGGAGGACGAGAUCCAUAUGAAAACACACCAUCUUAGAGAUCAAAACUUGAGAGAAAAUAGAUUUGUGAGUGUUUUUCUUGUUUGAAGAUUUGUUUGAGUUUGAAGUUUGUAGAAGAAGAAGAGAAUCCCUUUCUCUUCCCAGAGAAGCUUCUAAACCCUCUUGUUUUCUUUAUUUUCUUUAAUAAUGUCAAUUAUGAAUUCUGUUUUUGGUUCCAUGUGUGAGUAAUCUACUAGUUAGGCUAAGGUGAUUCAAAGGAAUCCAUGAAUCCAUGAAACUGAUAUGUUAAAGAAAAGGGGUAAAUCAUUUGGUUCUUCAUCUAGAUCGAUCUUAAAGCUUGAAUUAGAAGGUACACCUAGUUCUUGAUCAUUAGGAAGUUCAACACACCAAAAGUGAUAGUUAAACUCCUGAAAAGAAUCUAGAUGAGCAAGUCUUCGUAACCAACGAGAGUUGUUGUUAUGGAAUUUGUGAACAAAUCGAACCUGUUAAAAUGCAUGUUUAGAAUUAUGAAUAUGGCGAGAGUUGACAUUUAAGAUUCUAAAACAUAGGAUUUAGUACUGCGAGAGUAGGCUAAAUUAUUUAAGCUGUUUGAGUUCAAGAACGGUUCUAAAACAUACCUCUUGUUUAAUGUUUGUUUCUCGAUUUAUGUCAUUCCCGAGAAUUACCCGAUGCCUAACGUUUUAAUCUAUAAUUUAAAUUUCAUUUUAAUUUAUUUACAAGUUGUGACAAUUAAAAGCUACCAAACAAACAAUCAUUUUCGUUCUAGCUUGACUUUACUCUAAUAGAUUCAUAGUGUAACUUUGGUCUCUGUGGAAUUCGAUCCCUAAAUACUACUGCGCACUACCGUGCACUUGCGGUUGGUUUUAGUGGUAAAACCUGAGCACAUCAGAAAUACCACAGAUUAUGUCAAGUCCUGCCGUAUAUGGACAUGAUUUGAACUUUUCAAAGCUGAUGGAGAUGCAAGAGUCAACAUCCAUGUCUGGCUAUGGUCUGUCCCCAUUUAAUCAAGAAUCAGCCACCUCAAACUCCACAGCAGAGUUUUCUUCUUAGUCAUUGGAGUAUCAAAGGCUGUGAGCAUAUUGCCUUUUAUCUUGAAUUAACUUCAGACUCCAUAUCAUUAAAAGUUGUUUGAAACCUUACGUUGGAAUAUAAUUUAUGCUUACCAUGAAAAUUCCUAGUGUUUAAUCCUGGUCAGAUCAUAUCUGGUCACGAUAUCUUUCUAUCUCCCUGCGUAUAAAAGCUGCUGAAAUCUAUUUUCCAAA